rnacentral:lncRNA from 1 species
CUUUUGUUCAUCAGGGCUCCUAAGUAUAAAACCAUCCACUGCUCAUGCUGCCAGUAAGAGGCAGUGUCAUGUGACUAGCCUGGAAGUGAAACUAAGAGGAUGAAGGACUAUGAAGUAGAAAAUCAGUGGUCACUGCUGGCCAGUCACACCUGUGCUAUUCCACCUGAGCCAUGACCUUGAAGAAUAAGACAAAAUGACAAAACCCUUUAAAGGAUCUGCUUCUUCAAGCAUCGGAAUAAGCAGGACUUGCUGGGCUCUCUCCUCAGUUUAUUACAUAAUUAGGUAAUACCUUAUUUUUUUGUCUAAUCAUGUUACUUACAACUAUCUACUGCUUUCGUCAGACUGCAUAUAAAAUUACCCAGUUUUCUCUGGGUUUGGUGGUGAUCAUUUUUGAAGGCUCACGUGUCACAUAAAUCUAUGUUAAAUAUAGAUUUAACUAUUUACUCUUGUAAGCCUUUGCAUGGGUUAGGAUAAGACAGUCCUUUUUCUUCCCUACAAUUCUUGGCAACAGAUAAUAUAUUCUAAAGUGGAUGGUGCCGGACUGAGGCACUUGUUGGACUAGAGAAGAUAAGACUUGGAGGAUGUGGUUCAAAAGGAGACAGCAAAGCAAAGAUAUGAACAUAUUGCUUCAGUAAAAAAUUAAGAGAAUUUUAGAUAGUUGUAGAUAGAGAGAGGUAUUCAAAGAAAAAAGGAAGAAUUUUUGGUGUUUGUGGGGAAAAAAAAGAGGAGGACUAAAAUAAUGUUUGAUUGUGGAGUGAUCAAAGAACUUUUAGGAACAUGAUGUCUGAUGUUGAGUCCUGAAGCAUUCACUUUGCUAUAAUGUAAUCCCAACCCUUCAUCCCAUCUUUCUAUAAAGACUGUUAGACACUUAAGCAAUUUCGAGUGAUCUGAAGAAUUCAGGAAAUGAGGGCUGAACUCAUACUGUGUGAUUGUGUUGAAUCUAUAGAUUAUGUUGGAAAGAGUCUUCCAAAUCAGGACUAUAGAAUGUGCUUCCAUUUGUUUGAAUCUUCUUUAAUUUCUUGCAUUGGAGUUUUAUAGUUCUUUAAUAGAGAUUCUUACAUGUUUUGUAACAUUUUUACCUAAAUAUUACUAUUUAGAAAUAUUGUAAAUGGUAUUUUUUUUCAAAUCCCAGAUUAUUAUUAGUAUUUAGAAAAACAAUUGACUUUUAUUCAGUAACCUGUGUCCUCCUUGCUAUACUCAUUUGUUAGUUUCCAAGUGAUUUUUUUUUAAGUCAACUCUUUGGGAUUUUAGAGACUAAAUCAAGUCAUAUGCAAAGAUAGCUUUAUUUAUCCUUUACCAAUGUGUGUAUCCUUUAUUUCCUGUUUUUAGUUAUUUCAUUAAUGAACAUUCAGUCAAAUGCUCUGUAGGAGAAUGAGAGGGUGCAUCCUUGCUUGCCUUGAUCUGAAGAGGAAAGUGUCCAUUUUCUCACCAUCAGCUGUAAUGUCCUUUAUAGGGCUUUUAUAGCUAUUCUAUAUUUUCACUUUGAUGAAAAAUUUUAUCACGAAUCAAGUUGAUGUGGUAGAAUUUUCAAAUGUGAAAUUACCUUGCAUCCCUGGAAUAAAUUACAUUUUGUGUAUAAUACUUUCUUUAUAUUGUUGGAUUUGAUUUGUUAGUAUUUUGUUGAGAAUGUUUAUGUCUUUGUUCAUUAGAGGUAUUUGUCUAUAGUUUUCCUUUCUUCUAGUAUCUUCAUUUGGUUUUUGUGUUAGGGUAAUGCUACCCUCAAACAGUGAGUUUGGAAAUGUUUGCUAUGAUUCUAUUUUCUGGAAGAUAAUGGUAAGAAUUGGUUUAAUUUAUUUAAAUAUUUAAUAGAAUUCUCCAAUGAAAGCAACUGGGACUAUUUCUUUUAGGAAGACCAUGAAUUUCUGAUUCUAUUUAACAAUAGAUAUAAGCAUAUUCAGAUUUUCACGCAACUUUUUGUGUGAGUUUUACUCUUUUGUGAUUUCAAAUAAUUACUUCAUUUCAUCAAAGUAUUCAAAUUUGUGAACAGUUCAUAGUAUUCCUUUAUUACUCUCUUAUUAUCUGUGCUGUCAGUAGUGAUGAAAUCUCUCUCAUUUCAGUUACUGAUAAUUUGUGUUUGUGUCUUCUCUUUUAUUUUCUUUUUCUAACAUGACUGAGUUUUAUUUUUUUUAUUGAUCAUUUCACAGAACCAGCUUUUGUUUCAUUGCUUUUUCUGUUGAUUGGUUUCUUCCAAUUUAAUUGAUUUGUGCUUAAAUUUUUAUUAUUUAUUUUCUUCUGCUUGAUAUUUAAAUUCCUCUCCUUUCUUUAGUUUCCUAAGUUGGAAGCUUAGAUUAUUGAUUUUAGACUUGCUUCUUUUAAAAUACAUGUGUUUAAUGAUGUAAAUAUCCCUCUAAGCACUACUUUCACUACAUUUUAUACCUCCUUGGUUUCAUUUUAAUUUAGUUCCAAAUAUUUUCUAAUUUUUCUCAAGAUUUCUUUUUUAACCAAUGAAGAAUAUUUAGGAAGUAUGUUAUUUAAUAUGUGAAUAACAUAGAAUUUUGCAGCUAUCUUUUGUUAAUGAAUUAAUUCCAUUGUUUUCUGAGAACUUACUUUGUAAGAUUUCCAUUCUUUUAAAUUUGUUAAAGUAUUUUCAUGGUCUAGAAUGUAACUGUCUUGAUGAAGUCUCCAUGCUUAGGGAGUUUGAGGUGAAUGUUUAUUGAGUAAUAUAUAAAUGUAAAUUAGAUCAAGUUGUUAGAAGGGUUGUUCAGGACAACUAUACCCUCCCUCACUGAUUUCUACCUGCCUGAUCUAUUAAACAAUUGAAAAAGGAGAAUGGAUGCCUCCAAAUUUAUUAGUGAAUUUGUCUAUUUUUUUUUAGGUUCUAUCAAUUUUUGCCCCUAUAUUUUUAUUGUUAAAUGCAUACAUGUGUAUGAUUGUUAUGUCGUCACAAUACUUAUCAUUAUAUAAUACUCCUCUUUAUCCCUGGUUUUAUUAUUCUAAAGUCUGAUUUGUAUGAAAUUAAUAUACCUCCUCCAGUUUUCUUUUGUUUGGUGUUUCCAUAAUAUAAUAUUCUCUCAUUUUUUCUUUGACCUGUCUUAUAUAUAAAGUAGAUAAUAUGUAGAUAAAGUAGAUAAUAAGUAGAUAUAUUCAUGUAGAUAAUAUGUAUUUAAGUCUUGUUUUUCUUCCUAACCACUCUAAAUCUCUUUUUAUUUUUUUAUUCAUAACAUUUAUGUUUAAAAUGAAUAUUGAUAUAAUUGGAUCAAUAGUUACUAUGUAUGGAACUUUUCCUAUGUAUUGCAUUUUUUCUUUAUACCUACUUAAAAAAAAAAAAACUAAUCCCAUUCUAUCUCCUUGCUUAGCACAACUAUUAUUCUCCUUUAAAUAUUUUUCAGUGGUUGCCCUAGAGUUUGAAAUGUACAUUUUUAACUAAAUCUACCCUUAAAUAACACUAUACCAUUUCACUUGCCGUCAGUGCAGGUAAUAUAUUACAAUGUAUUCCCAAUUUCUUCCUCUUAGCUUGAAUGACAUUUUCAUAAUAUAUUGGAUUUAUUCAAAUGUUGAUAUCAUUUUAAACACUAUGAUUUAGAUUGACUAAGAAUAAAAAAUAUAUAAUUUAUUUUAUAUUCAUUUAUUCUUUCUCUAGUGUGCCUCUUUUUAAUGUAGAGUUGAGAUUUUGAUCUAUAUUAUUUUCUUCCUUCACAAAGAAAUUCUGUUAACAUACAUUGUAGGGCAAAACUGUUGGUGAUUAGUUCUUCAACUUUUUUUUUUUAUCUUAGAAAGUCUUUAUGUAUUUUUAUUUUUAUUUUUUGGCUGUCACCUCUUUUAUUCAAACUUUUACUGUUGAUCCUAGAUAGCCCAACAAAACAAGGAAAGGAGAUAAAAAAUCAAGGAAAUGUUACCUAAAGGUAACAUUGUUGAAGGGUGAUUUCACUUGAUACAGAACUGUAUGCUGGUAGGGUUUGUUUUUCUUUUUCUUUUUUCUCAAUUUAUUCUACUCUCUUUUUGCUUAUAUGAUAUCUCAGAAGUGUGAUGUCAUUCUUUUCCUUAUUCUUUUAUAAAUAAGAUGUUUUCUGAAAUUUUUUUAUAACUUUAAUCUUUGUCUUUGGUUUUCUGCUGCUCAAAUAUGAUAUACCUAGAUGCGAUUGUGUUUUUCUUUUUUUGGGAUUUGUCCUCCUUGGUGUUCUUUAAACUUUCGGGGUCUGUGGUAUGGUGUCUGUCAAUAACUUGAGAAAAAUUUCAGCCAUUAUUAUUUCCAAUAUUUCUUCUGUCUUUCUUCUGUUUUUGACAUUCCAAUUAUACACUCGUGUCAGCUUUUGAAAUUAUUCCAUAGAUGGUGUGGAUUCUGCUUCUAUUCUCAUUACUUUUCUCUGUAUUCCACUGUGCCAUAUCUUCAUGUUCAUUGAUUCUUCCCUUGGCCAUGUCCAGUUAUCUGAUGAGCCCAUUAAAAGUAUUUUUUUUAUUUCUGUUAUGGUGUUUUUGAUUUCUAGCAUUUCUUUCUCUCCUUCAUCCAUCUACUUGGAUAAGUUAUUUGUUCUUUCAGGCUGUCUACUUUCUCCACUAGAACUCUUAUAUUUCCAUUUGAACUCUUAUUUAAUUAUUUUAAAUUUUCAGUCAGAGGAUUCCAGAAUCUGUUUUAAAUCUGUUUGGUUAUUAUGCCUGUUUUGUUUCUUUAGAAUGUGUGUUUCCUUGGGUCCUAGAAUGCUUUCUAAUUGUUGUUGUUGAGCGUUGAACACGAUACAUCAGGUAAUUAGAAAUGAGGUAAUUAGGCCUUGGGUGUGAGGAUUUAUAGUAAGCUUGUUGUAUUUGGGUAGUAUUUAAUGUUUGCUUAGCUGUGAUUUCCAUAGGCUUCCAGGUCUCUGGUGCCCUUGCUCUUGUCUAUUCAUGUAUUUUUCUGGACAGAAACCUCUUUUUUUCAUUUUUUUUAUUAUACAUGACAGUAUAUUUUGACAGAUUUAUACAAGCAUGGAGUUCAUCUUAUCCCAGUCUUGUGGUUGUACCUGAUGUGGAGAUUCACUGUGGUGCAUUCAUAUGUGUACAUAGGAAAGAGAUGUCAGAUUCCUUACACCGUCUUUCCUAUUUCUAACUAUUCUCCCUUUCCUUUGGUGCCCUUAUUUUUGUAUCCUCCAUUUUCUUUGGACUCCUUAAUAGAUCCUGUUUAGAAAUAGAUCCUCUUUAGAGUCUUUUUGAUAUGGCAGCAAUGUGAUGGUGGAAGGAACAUGCUGUGUUCUGUGCGUUUCAUAGCUUUUGCUCUCCCUUUAUGUGAGUCAAGAAGACAAGAGUGGGCUGGAAUCAGAGAAAUACCCUUCUUCCAGAAAGGAGAGGUUCCAGUCUUUCCACCUGGAAUAAGUCCCUCCUUAUAUAGAACACUCUGGAUGCUUUUCACAGUGGUUACUUUGCCCUCUCCCUGCCUGAGCAUGAGGGAUGUGUUUUGGUCUCUUCAUCCUUAGAACAUGGUGAGUUUCCUGUAAGUAAUAGCCAUGAAAGCAUGACCUCAUCCCCAAGUCUUCAAGCCCAAGUUUCUCAUUCUUAAGUUAUUUCACACUUAGCCUCCAGCCCUUCAUCAACAAUUACCAUCUAAGUGUUCUACCAGUUGGGGACCUCAGUUACUUCUGCUCUGGCUAAGUAAAUGACAACUUUGACUUUCUGUCUUCUCUUGUCUCUCCAGAUUUUAGGGUGGGAGUUUGCCCUGUAAAUUCAGUUCUCUGAUGGGUCAAAGUAAACAUUUGAUUUUCUGUUUGUUCAGCUUUAUCUUAUUGUAGGGAUAGAAGGGAUGAAAGCUGAAAAUGGGUGGCUUUUUUUUUCUUUUUUCAGUUAUUAAAUAUACAUUUUCUAACAUAUUCAAAAGGAGAAAUAAUAGUGUUAUUAAUUACUAAAUCCUAGCAGUCAUCUUUCCAGCAUGAGGAAAAGAUUCAUGUUUCAACAAUGGAAGAGCAGAAAUUCAGAAGGAUCCUGGGUCCCUGAUAGCUUUGUGGAAUUACCAUAAUCCUGUCUGGAGUUCUUCUGGAUUCUCAUUAAGUGAGAAAAAAUUUAAACCUUUAUUUUGUUUAAGCCACUUUUUCUUUUCAAGAAAAUGAACUUAAUCUUUAAAUGAAAAAAUAUCAUUUCCUCACCUCCCCUCUCUUUCCUUGUACAAGUACCCUUUAUCUUAAAGUUCAAGAAUAGUAUACUAUUCUCUCUCUCUCCUUCCAUCCUUCAUAUCUCUUCUCUACCUUUAUUUACCCUGACAAUUAUUUCUGUCUAUUCUUGGUUUUACCUGGCAUAGUGGAUAAUAGAUAAAUACUGGUUGGAUGCGUGAAUAGAUUAUCUUAAUUAUAAGUAAUUCUAACCAUAUAAAAGCUGGGGGCUCACUCACAAUUUAUUUCCAGUAUAUAUACCAUGGUCCAACUCAUAAAUUGACAAGCGUGUCCUUACCUUACCUCAAGAACAGAAAAUUUCCAAAGCCAAAUCAAGGCUUGAAAAAUUACCAAAAUCAUUUGUCAAACUAAGUACUUUAGCCAAAUAUCCAGGCCUCAGCAGGAAAUAUUUCUGCCCAAAUUAUCUGGAUAAUUUAUUCAGUCUCCCACUUGGCUUUCUCUAUGGCUUCCUAUGGUCUUUGUAAGCCCAUGCAGCUGUAGAUAUGCCAGAGCUUGGCUCGGGCAGGAUGCAGGAAGUGAGCGAGGUAAACACUGAAAAUUCAAUGCCAAGGUACAGGUAUUUUCUCUUGACCUUUCUGGGUAUGGAGCAGAAAAAACAUUUGUAAAAUGAAAAUUUUACAUGUCACAUUUCUCUUCUUAAUACUUUCCAUUACCUGAAGUUAUAUCUUGUUUUUCUUUAUGUUCUGACUUUCUUAUUUCCCCCUUUCAAAUGUGACCUGUAAGAGGGCAAGGGUUAUGUCAUGUGAUUCUCAUAACAAGAAAUUUGGCACAUAGUGGAUGAUUAGUAAAUAUUUAUUGAAUGAAUGAAUGAAUCAAUGAAUCAAUGGAUGUAUCAAUGAACACUUCAUAGAAUGAAUUCAGGGCCUUUGUGGAGCUUGGUACUAAGAUUAUUGCUUAGAAUCAGACUGCCCAGGUCAGUACUCUGGUAGCCUUUUACCAACUGCUGUGACUGAAUCACCCUGAAUCACACUGUGGUGAUUCAGUCACACUGAAUCCAUUUCCUUAGUCACAGAAUGGGAGCAAUGAUUACUCUCCAGCAUACCCAAUGUACCAAUUGUGAAUAUUAAAUGAGAUAAUCUUUGCUAGUGCUUUUCAUGCAGUAUUUAAUAAAUGCUAGCUAUUAUUUAUUAUUUCUGUUUCUUCAAGUCGAAAUUCUGUAUUCAUAGGAUCUCACAUGCUUCCUUCCCUCUUAGAUAUUCUUUUGAACUAUAGAAACUCCUCAAUUUAUGAAUAGUUUGUAUUUAUAAAAGUUGCAUCCAUGUACUCAUUUUCUUAUAUGUAUAUUCUAUAUACUCAUUUCUUAUAUGUUCUUAUAUGUUCACAGUGAUUAAGUGGGCUCAUAUCUUGCAAUCUCCAUAUGAAUAUUUCCUAAAUAAGAGUCUGAGUUAGCUCUCUGCAACUUCAAAAGUAGACAUUAUUUCUUCUCUUCAAUGAUGAUAUAUAUUAUGAAAAGCAUCCUUUUUCCAUAAUGUGAGGAUCUCAUGUACACUGACAAUCUGCUAAAGUCACUGUCUCCAAACUUGAUGUACUCCAUAAGUGGUAAUAAUGACUCCUUAGCAGCAGUGAACAUGUGUGAUUGUCACUAUUCCCACUCUCAGUUGCUAUGAGAUUUCAGAAUGACCUUGAGGUUGAACCAUCUGUGACUGUGACUUGCAACAGAUUUCUUGGAGAGGGCUUUCUCUAAGUGUUGACUUAAUUAUAAACUCUUAGAUCUCUGCUAAAUAGACAUAAGACUAAUAGCAGCAGAUGUUUAUAAUGAUUACAUAGAUUCAAACUCCAUUUUUUUCCAAAAAUAUUCUUGGUCUGCUCAUUCAGUUCCUCCUACAUGUAAGGAGGAACAUUAGGCACUGGGGAUACAGUGUGAGCACAAAGUAGUAGGACCCAUGCCUAUCAGAGCUCACUAUCUAAUAGCAGGAGACACAUUAGCAAAUGACACAAAAAAGCAAGUAGGUGUUUAAUAUGGUAAAUGGUGAUAUGUUUGUUUGUUUGUUUGUUUAAUACCAGGGAUUGAACUCAGGGCAUUUGACCACUGAGCCACUCCCUAGCUCUAGUUUGUAUUUUAUUAGAGAUAAGCUCUCACUGAGUUGCUUAGUGCCUUCCUAAAUUGCUGAGGCUGGCUUUGAACUCAUGAUCCUCCUGAAUCAGCCUCCCAAGCCGCUGGGGUUACAGGCGUGCACCACUGCACCCAGCAAUGUUGUAAGAAGGAAAGCAAAGAAGAUAAAAGAAAGUGAGAGGGCUAGAGAGUGGGGAUUGCUGGGUAUUAGGGAACAGGGAGCAUAAGAAGGCCAUAGUUCACAGAGAGAGAGAGAUCAGAUAAGGCCUCACUAUUGAAGCACCAUUUGGGCCAAGAACUUAAGUAGGUGAAGAAGAGAGCCAUGUUGCUCACAUAGGAAGGAAUGAUAAGGAGGCUGGAGAGUAUAAAAUUGGGUGAAUAGGAGCGAGAAAGGUAAGAGAUGACAUUGUGAGUGUAGGUUUGAGGCAGGAACAGAUCAAGCACCAUGAAAGAUAUGCCUGUUCUGUACUGACAUAGUCCCAUUUCCCAGCAUAUUAUAUAGUUUUGAUCAUUUUUACCUUUAUGUUCCUUGUUAUUAAUAUCUUUUAAACACUUCCUCCUUCAAGAGUUGUUUUAUUUUUAAAUGAAGUAUUUCAAACCAAUAUAUAGUAGGAAAAAAAUAACUGAUGCUAUUGUAGCAUUCUUAUUUAACACAUGUUAAAAUAUUUAGGGGUGGAGGAGAAAGAGAAAGGAAUCAUUCAAAAGCAAGAUGGUAAAACACACCAACACACCAUCCAUUUUAUAUGAAAAUAUCUUGAAGAAUAAUAGCUAGGAGAAGAAGACAAAAAUCCACAUUAGUGUUCUGUAAUGGAGCUGUUGUAUGGUUCAGAACAGUUUUCAAAUUGGGAAACCAGAUAAGUCAUCUGCCAUUUUUUUUUAAACCUGUCAUUGAAUAGCUUUGAGGGUUUGAACCAGUCACUUUUCUUAUUAUAUUUUCUUUUCUAUAAGAGUAGGAAAUUAGACUAAUUGAAGAUGAUAAUUACAUGACACAUAGUCAGGAAUCUCCAAUCUAGAGCUCUUUGCAAAUGGUUCCCAGAUACCUACUGUCUUAGUCCAGUUGGUGUUGCUCUGAUGUACCUGAGGCUGGGUACUUUAUAAAGAAAAGAGGUUUACAGUUCUGGAGGUCUAAGAGCAUGGUGCCAGCCUCUGUUUGGAUCAGAUAACAGCUUCAUGACUGAUAGCAUCACAUGACAGGAGCAUGAAUGACACAUGCAGAAGGAUGAUUCAGAGGAUGCACAGGCUCCCUUAAGAAAACCAACGCUCAUCUCUUGAGACCCAUGGUCAUUCCUUCCAUGGGUGGAGCGUUCAUGAUGGAAUUACCAUCUACUAGGCCUCAUCUCUUAAAGGUUCCCACACCUCAACCCUGCCAAACUGGGGACCCAGCUUUCAGUAUAUAAACUUUGGGAGACACACAUAAUCAAUACCCAAAUCAUAGCGCAUACUUUAUUGAAUUUUCUCAGCACAGUUUUAGAGCAAAAAUAAGUGAGAUCACAUGGAAUUAAAUUUGUUUAGUAUAUCUAGACCAAAUGAUCUGUUAAGUUUCUUUUAGUUUCAGUGUUUCAGUACUAGAUGAUGAAGUAUUUAGCUCCAAGGGGCUUCCGGCAUUCUCCCUUCUCCCAUCCCCAGUGAAGGGCUACCUGAGGUGUCUCGUUUUCCCACCUGGAUGCCUCCAUUUAUCCUGAAAGUAGAGGGUCCCAGUGCAAAGCAAAUAGGUCACCUUUGGCUUGACUUGAGUCGCCUAGGUUUGGUAUACCCAAGAAAUCCCUGCAGGCAGAGGCAAGACCAGACACAUCGUUGUUACAUAUCCAAGUCAGCACGUGAUGGGGCUUGGGAGAAGGUGAUACAUUCUGCUUUUAUGGAUUUCAGAAGACAUGAGGCCUGGCAAGGAGCACAUGGAGAGGCUCAUUUAAUACAGAACAUUGCUGGCUUAGCCACUGAGCUGUUUAGUACAUAUUAAGGUGCCUAUCUGGCUGGGGCUACAGACUCAGAACUCCCCGGAAAAAGAAUGGUAAACGUUAGUUUCUCAGAACUCAAUUGUUUUUGUUAGGACAUGUCCUUAAUAGCAGAAAAUGUCCUACUAAAUCCAGAGCUCUGAAAUUAGAGAUCCAUUCUUUCCAGCUGUCUACCCGAUAAUUAGCAAAGGGAAAGCUUUAUUCUAAAAUUAAGCACUUAAUUUUAUUCAUGGAAACACCAUCAGUACAUCCUGAGGUAUCCUUUAAGUGGUCAUUUUUAUAUUUCCACGCUUCAGGAGAGAGCUCUGGAAUCGUAGUUCUAAUUCCAGCUCUGUGACUGUGGUACUUCAUUGAUCUAAAGAGUCCCCUCAACCUCUGGCCACCCAGUGAAUCACAGCUCUCAGGAUGCUCAUACUUGUGCAUCUCCCAGUUUAGCUUUGGCCAAUGGGACAUUGGCAAAUGUCACUCAAACAGGUUUGAUAAGCAUUUGAACACUUGGAGUAACACUGCCUUUACCCUGGGAGGAAGCUCAGGCUAGUAUCCUUCUUGAGACUGAGAAAACAUAAGGAGAAGACCAGUGACUCUGCUCCCAGCCCACCCUCCAGUGCCAUUUAGCCACAUGAAGGAACCCAGUGGAAUCAGCAGACAAGCCAGCCAGACAAUCCACAGAACUGUGAGCAACAAAAAGUUGUUUUAAGCCAUUAGGUUUUGAAAUUUUUGAUUAUAUAUAAUUUUUGAUUAUUUCAUGACCUUGAAACUUGAGUUUCCAUAAGUUUUUGAAACUUGACGUUCCUCUUUUAUAAAGUGGGAGUAAUGAUGUUCAUUGUAUAGGGAUAUUAAAUACAAUGAUUAAUUCAACUACCCCUAUAAUGUCAUAGUGGCCAUUAAACUUUAAAAAAUUAUAUUUUCUUAUAAUUAUUGUUUUUUUCCUGCUGCUUUAUCUAUAAGAGGAUAAAAAAGAUGAAUUUUGUUCCUAUCAUAAAAUUUUGCUGCAAAUUUUCCAUGAGAACUAUUUUGUAGUUCCAUCAAGGAUGACUAAUCAAGAUAAGUUUUCUUUCUCACAGAAUACUUUUGGAAGUUGUUUCAAAUAAGGAAAAGACUUGUCAAAACAAUAAUUUUGCCUAGAUAAUGUUGAUUUGUUUUCAAAUAAUUCAAUGACUAUGCAUUUUGAUUAGCUGGUAACUACAGGGAGAGACUCUGCAGUACUAGUUUUAAAAGGCAUAUAACAAACUCAGAACAUAAUUGAGGAAAACAGCUUAUUCAUUUUGGAGGCAAAAACAUCACCCCUCACAUACCUUGAUGCUGACUCAAGCUAAAAUAUGGCACAAAUGAUUUGCUACAAGAGUAUAUAUUUGUGGAAAAUGAAGUCUAAUGGUGUAAUUAUGGAGAAAAUCACAGCCCUGUUUACCAGGCAUUCUAAACAAAAUUUUUCUAAAGAUGUGCAGUGAUAGAUCAGUAUGUUUGAAAAGAUGAUGUGCUUUGAAGUAGUUGAAGGAUCCAGAGUGUGGUUCAGUCCAUUGAAAAUAGAUUUACUGCCAGUGGAGAACAUCAUUAUGCCCAAUGGACAUUCAAGCUGAAAUAAACAAAACAGGAAGAAUAUAGGAUGAUGAAAUUACUUUAGCCUGAUUCAGUAUAUUGUGUAAUAGGAUUCUCAGGAUGUUAUUGACUGAGUUGGUAAAAGCUAGAAAAUGUAUGCAACAUUACUGGAGAAAUUAUCAGUUUGAAGAUACAAACCAAUCCAGAAGCCAGUUAGGGUCAGACUUCCAGAAAGAUUGGGAAAGAUUUAAACUAUUUUUAUUUGAGAUUCUUUUGGCUUCUUAUGGAAAAUUCUUGUAACUCUAUGUUCCACUGGUAAAUAUUGGUGAUAACUUGGAUUAUAAUUACAUAUAAAAAUGCAAUAGGAACAUGAACACUAGCAAAUGUAUGUGUCUUGGGCUCUGAGAUCUUAUUUCUAGGUAUCAUUAUGUGACCUUGAAUAAAUAACCAUAUGGGUCUUGUCUUCUACAUUUUAAAGAUAAAGAUAUUGGAGGUUAUCUUACAGAUAUUCUUAAGCUCUUAAAAUGCCCAAUUGUCAUUAAUUUUGUUAUUUAAGUUAGGCAAAUAUGGUAGGCUAAACACAGCCUUGAAAGAUAUAUAUGUCCUAAUCAAAGGAAUCUGUGAAUGUUAACUUAUAGGGCAAAGGGGACUUUGCAGAUUGACUAAGUCAAGGAUCUUAGAAAGGAAUAAGUAUCCCAAAUUUUCUGGCCAGGCUGUGAAUGCAAUCAUGACUCUCCUUAUGAGAGAGGGAGUUUUGACUACAAAUGAAGAAACAGUAGAUGUGACAACAGAAACAGAGGUUGAAGUGAUGUCAGGAAGGGGUCUCAUGCCAAGGGAUCCAGGCAUCCUCCAGAGGCUAGAGCAUGCAGGGAAGCAGAUUCUUCCCCAGAAGCUUCAAAAGUGGCCAGUCCUAUUGACACCUUGACUUUAUGCUGGUGAAACUAAUUGUAGACUUCUGGUACCCAGAAUGGUAAGAUUAGAAGUGUAUGUUGUUUUUAAGCCACCACAUUUAUAGUGAUUUGUUAAAGCAGUACCAGAAAAAAACUAAUGCAACAAUAAAAAUCCAGAGGAUUAACAUGAGAUUUAAAUGACUAAAUUGUGGAAGAGUGACUACUAACUCAAUCGUUUAUUAAAGCACUCCUUGGGAACUGACUAUAGGAUAGAUAUAAAACCUGGUGUUAAAGUUGAGAUGUAAGUUAGUUGUAUUAGCUAGGAUGCUUUGGACUUGGGUAACAGAAAACCUAACCAUACAGGCUGAAAUAUUAAAAGGAGAUUUAUUGGUUAUCAUGUAACUAAAACAGUUCCGAGGCAGGGCAGAAGUCAAGAAUUAUUCAACCAGAUUUAUAAAUCCAUUUCUCUGCCAUGGUCUCACUCUAUCCUCAUGCACAUACACUGUUUUAUCUCAAGGCAUAGAGAGAUGACUACAGGGACAUGUGUGCAUACACAAGAUCAUCUCUUCUGCAGGCUCCUUUCUAGAGUGAGGGACUAUCUUUCCCAGCAAACAUCCUUCCCCUCAAUUUCUUAGUAACCCAAGUUGGAUAAUGUAAUACCCCAGAGUUGAUCCUUAUAAUCCAGGAUUGCCAUAUUCUAGUUAUUUGAUGUCUAUACUACUAAACUGAUUCAUAUGAGGGGGGAAUGAUUACCUGUAGACCUCUCAUACCACCUGUAGAAUUGGAAUUGGGGUCAGCUUUUCCUGAAGCUGUCUACAGAAUGGAUGGAUAUCUGAAAGAAAAUCUUGGAGCUCUUCAGAAUAGGAGAACAAAUUCUAGAACUUUGCAUUGCAGAAGUCUUCACACAAACCACAAAUAGAUAAAGAAGGGGAGAUGAAAGUUCAAUCAAAGAGGUGCCUGAUGUUAUGAUGAAUGGCAUUCUGUAGAUACCCAAAAGUACUGUGGAAAAAUGAACCAACUAUGCAAAAGAAUGGAAUGCUGUCGGGUCAUUUCCUUAGAGGAAUAACAUAUAAAUUAAACUUUAACAGGUGAGUGGGAGUUAGGUAGAAAAUAGGGUAACUUUCCAGGCAAACAAAAAUACAUUGUUAAAAGCUCAAGUAGCAUGAAAAGUGUGAUAGAGUCAGAGCAGCAAGGAGCUCAGUGUAGCUGCUGAGUACCUCCUUAAAAUUAGGGCAGGGGUAAAGUGUAAAGGUGCCAUGGGAAAUGAACCUGGCAGGCAAAUGUGAGAUUGGGUUACUCAACUUCUCAAUUUUCAUAGAUUUUAUAGUUCAGGACCUAUAAAAUCUAUGAAAAUUGCAAAAUUUUGGCCUUCGUAUCAGGAUCCCACUGAUAUGGGAUGGGAGUAGAAGAAACUAUUUGGAAAAAGAAGAGAUAAAACAUUGCAAUUGAUUGGAAUAGGAGCUAAGGUCAAGUGGGUUGAAUUGAGGACUAUUAAGAAGUGUCUGGAUGAUUGAAAGAUCUUAAAGUACUCAGGAAUAAAUUUGAAGUGCCCCAGGACCUGAAGUCCAGGAAAUUAAUGGGCAGCCGGAGAAUGAGGAUGGAGAAGCCCAUGGCAGAUUUUGUCAGCCUCUCCAGUACACAGACGUGGGUAGGAGGUGUGGCCAUCUAGAGAGUUGUCUCAAAUCAUGUGACAGAAAGCACCCAGUACUAGAUUCAAACCCAGGUCUAGCAGGCUCCAAAACUCACUCUUAAAACUUCUGCCAUUUUGUUUACAAUAGUUCUUUCUAGAGAGGUUAAGAAACACCUAUUUUGAGAAUGGAAACUGACACUAAAAGCAGUGAUUUGUUCAAAGUCAUAUAGCCACUUAGUAGUGGAGCUUGGCUUUAAAAACAAAUUUCUCUUUUUUUUUCAUUUUUAUUUGUUCUUUUUAGAUAUAGAUGGCAGUACAGUGUAUUUUGACAUAUUAUACAUACAUGGAGUAUAACUUCCCUUUCUUGUGAUUGUACAUGAUGUGGAGUUACACAGGUCAUGUAUUCAUGUAUGAACACAGGAAAGUUAUGAUUCCAACUCCAAUUCCAUUUCCACUAUAUGAUCAUCUUUCUAUAAAAUUUUGCUUUCUAGGGAACAUUUUGUCCCUUUAGAACACACAAGCCAACUUUUGACUGGGCUGACUCAGGUGACAUUCCACAGAGGAAAAAUAAGGUAAGCCUAGAUGGGGUGCCCAUGGAGAUAGUUCUCAACCUGGGUGAUUUUGACUCCUAGGAUAAAUCUGGCAAUACUAAAGAUGUUUUUUGAUUACCAUACUUGGGAUAGGGGUGCUAUUAGAAUCUAGUGGGUUAAGGUCAGGAUUGGGUGUGAGUAUCCUACAGUGCACAGGGAUUCAUAAUUAAGAAUUAAUCAAUCCCAAAUAUCAAUACUGCCAGGAUCCACACACUCUGGUCUAUAGCAAUAACAUUUUUGAUUGGUAGAUGGGAUCUUGUUGGCCACCCUCUAUAUAUUCCUACUACCAAAACGUCUGUUACCCCUUUACCCUCCUUUGUCCCUGCCCCUCACUUUUCUUUCUUCCUUUCUUUCUCCCUCCCUUCCUCUCUCUCCCCUCCUCCUCUUCCUUUCUCUUCUUCAUUUAGGUUGUCUCUCUAGACCUCGGAUCCUGCUUCCUCAUGAUUUUUUUCAUCAAGGCUAGAAACAGUGCUAGGAGGAGUGCUUUCCAAAAGUUCCUUCAGCUCCUGCGUUAAAAUAUUCUUUCUAUAGGACUUUAAAAAAAAGGUUUGACUGGGCAAAAAGACAAACAAACCAUCCUUGUAACAAAGGCAAAGUAGCAGAACUAUCAGAUACUUAAAUAUUGUGAUGAAGUAUACCUGGAUUAAGAUCUCAGGCUCAGCUACCUCCCUUCAGUGAAUUAGUUCACUUUCUGCCUUUUCUCCAUUUUUUUCUGUCAUACCAUCUCUCUAAUAGGGCUAUCAACACAAUUAAAUGAAAUGAUCCAUAAAAAGUAUUUAGAAGAGAGUAAGUAAGUAUUAGGUUUCCACUGUGUACGAGCUGUUUCCAUUCCCGUGGCCAUUAGAACAUACUGUACUUGAAAAUCAUGUUCUGUUUAUAUAGCCAAACUGGUUAAAUGCAUAGAUGCAAGCUUCUUCUUUGGAUUGCUAUGCUGGGUAUUUAAAGUCUGGUAAAUAGGAAUCUCACUUUCUAAUAAUGCAUUUGUUUUGAAGUAAAGAACAGAAUUUGGGUUACCAUGUCAAAAACCUCUUAGCAUCUGAGGAGCAUGGCUAUGUCAGUGGCAAAGAUCCAGGUGAAGCAUCAUGUCUGGGGCAAGGGGAAGGAACUGGGUACUUUUCAAUAUGAAGUAAUGGGUGAGUUUACCUUUCCUAUGUGGUUCAUAUAGUAGAUCUAUAGCUUCUUACUAGAUGGGAGAAUGGGAGAAUCUAGAUGCAGCAUUGUGGAAGGAAACUUCAAACUUUUAGACAGAUUGGCAUUUCAAUUACCAAGUCAACUCUGAAGUAGCUUCGUAGCUUAGGCCUCAGUUGCACACCUAUGAGAUGAGGAAGUUGGAUUAUAUCAUCUCGAAUGUGACUCUGGUAUUGCCAUCCUAAAAGGAAUCAACAGUAAUUUAACAAAAUGCCAUUACACUGAACUUCUUCUCUAUGUCAUUGCCAAGCCCUUAUCAUUAUUUUAAAUAAAUGCCUCUGGGAUGGAUGGAACACAUUUUUAGGAGGAAACUUUCUAGGAAAUAUUUCCAAUAGCUUACUCCUAAAAGUCAAGCUGGGGCCUUCAUAACACACCAUGCUUUAAGGAAAUUUUGUUCUUCCCAGUUGAAGACAAGUGAUUUAGAAAGCAGUUCUCGAGGGUGUUUUAAUAACCAGAUGGGCACCUUUCCCUGAGCUGGUUCAGGGAAGGGUUUUGGCUUUAUUUCCAUUGUUACUUUCUUCCUUGUCCAUCUCUCACCUGAGAUCUUGCUCCCUCCUGCUGUUCCCCACAGAAACUUUCUUUGUACUUCAAGUAUUUCCUAUGAGCUCUGAAGAGACACAACUUUGGUCUGUGCCUUUGUAAAUUCUUUCUCUCCUUAUAGUGAUUAAAAAAAAAAAAACAGAAUUGACAAAAUUAUUCAUGCUUAUUGUCAAAAUUAUCAAAAAUAGUGAAAAGAAUAAAGAAACAGGAAAAGAAAAAAAGCAUCAUCUAUAAUGUCAUAGAUCAGUAGCAACUCAGAGUUGUCAAAAGAAAAAAUUUCAACAAAUUUAGAUAAGUUAUUGCUUUUAUUUGGGGUUUGUGAAUUAGAGAGCAUCUCAUCUGCAUGGAGAGGUGCUGUUCUGGGCAAGGCACAUCACUUAAUUCUUAUAAGGUAGGUUGGUACAGGAAAAGGGAAAUAGCAUAAUACAAAACACAAAUUAGCUAACUUCUGGCUGCUUCAGGUUACUUUGCCUGUGUUACAGAACAGAGGGCUUCUUCACACAGGCCAAAACUGGUGCUGUUGGGGAUUUGGCUAUUGUCCUUUGCUCCUGAUUUCUAAGAACAUCAGAUUAACAAUUUGCUUUCUGUUUGGGAACCUGGAACUUUCACCUGAGUUCACCAUUUCCAUUUGCUCUCUUGGGGUCUAGUGUAGGAGCUCAUUCUAAAUCAAUAGUCUCCCAGAAAUUUUACUUAUUAUUUCAAAAUAUUGUGUCCCCCUUUUAGACAUAGGUGAUUGAAAAUAUUUUAGCUUCAAAGUGUUGUGUCCUUUUAAUUUUUUAGCAUUAUAUCAUAAGCACUUUCCUGUCCCGUUAAAAACUCCAUGAUAAUAUGAGCUUAUUUUAAUAUUGUCAGGUUAAGGAGAUGUAUGACUCCAAAACAGAAUAAUCUAUUCUAGAUUAGAAUAAUAUCUUUUAAAACUAAUAUAUUCUGAAGCUAACCUAGAACAGAUUAUUCUGUUUAGGGAAUACAUGUUUCUUAACUAGUCUCCUACUGUGGAACAUUUCAUUUAUUUAUUUAUUUAUUUAUUUAUUUAAUGUGGAAAUAAAUCUGCCACGAAUAACUUUGGAAAUAAAUCUUUACCUAUGUUUCUGAUUUUCUUUUUAGAGUAUACACCUAGGAAGUAGAACAUGAAGACUUUUAAGAUUGGCUUUUCAAAUUAUGUUAAUUUAUAAUCCUACCAUUAUGUAUGAGAAUGCUUAACUUUACAGCUACCAAGAUCAAAAGCAGCAGCCUCUCUAGAGAAAUAUCACUGUAGAAUAUAGUGGUAUGUGCCAGAGUUUUACAAUUCAGGGACAGAGUCCUAAGAAAAAUAAUUCUUAAGAAGCAGAUCAUCAGCAACUAGCUGGGGGAAGUUAAAUGCAGAUGCUACCUUUCUGUUUUUAUAACAUGGCUAAAGAGCCAAUCAUUUUCCCUCACUAGUACACCAGCUCUGUGUCUGAAAAUAUUUGCUGAUUUCAAGGCAGAAGCUCAUUUUCAUGCAGUGGAAUUUUCCAAAGCUGCCUUCAUGUUACCAUCUAGCUCUUCUGUGCUGGGUCUGGGGCGAGCUAAGUUCAAGCUAAAGGCAUGGAGUGAUAGACCGCAUAAUUCAUAAAGCACACAGGGUUCUGAUUGGUGGUGUGGAUAAAUUAUUCUCCCUCCAGUGUCUUUCAGUGAUGGGCUUAUUGCAAAUAAAGGAGAGUUCCUUGAGGCCACAGAAGUGCUUAAUAAACCACAGGGGAAACGUAUGAGGGCUGCCGGAUGGAACCUGGCAAAAUGAGCCUCAUUUUUACGUCAAACAGGCUGCGAGGCAGAGACCACUGCAAGGGAGAAAGGGAGGGAAAAACCAACCUUGGGCACCUGCAGCACCUGAGAAAGCUGAGUGGAUUUUGAAUUAAAAAAAAAAAAAAAGAAGGAGACACUUGUGUAUACCAGGUCUCCUUAAGGGUGAUCCCGAAGACUAGAUUGAAGAGGGAGAAAGUAAUAGAACAGAAGAAAGGAAACAUGGGGUCAAGGGGGCAGAGGAGACAGAUUUCAGUUCUGUUGUUUGUUUGUAUUUGAUCUUAGAUUCUGUCAGACUUCCUUCGAAACAGACAAGAUAGCUCGCAAAUUAAAAACCUAAUUAAGGUAAGACAUGUAACAUUCACAUCCAAAGUGGAAACCUUAAAUUGUUAGGCCACAUGGGAUUUGACGAUGUAGCUGACAAAGUCCAAAAGAACUUGUCCUUGCCAGUGUCACCACUGUGAAUUCAGCAUCAGCCGCAGGAGCCUUUCUGUCCGUGUGUCUGCAGCAAGGUUGGUCUCAUUCAAGGUUCAUGCCCAAUACUCCUGGAUCCCAUGACGUCAUGAGUCGCAUACACGGAUGCAGUCUGUAAGAAAAGAUGGCUUUAUCACCCAAGGUGGUGUCACUCAGGCAGUUGACUCUGCAGGCGUGCUUUUGUACUGAAUAUGCUCCACGUGAGACCUUGAUCCAUAUUCCAGAAGACCAAGUGAAAGUUAAGGGACAGGUGACGAACAUAGUUGCUCGCCAGCCAAGGACCCUUUGCUUCUUUCGUCUCGGUCACUACACCCAUCCCCAGCUACUCUGUGUAUUGUCUUCUGAGGACUUACUUACUCUAGGGAAUAGCCCUUCAUUGAAGGCAGACUUCUGCCCUGGGAGGGAGACCUACAGCCUCAUCUGGAACGGCCAAUGACUGACUGAUGAGGGAAUAAAAGAAGGCCAGACCGUUUGUCUCACAAGAGAACAUGAAGCUCCUGCUCCGGGGCCCAGCACACCCUUGUAUCCAAACCAUUAGGACCAGCUGUGUCCCAAGACCACAGCUCUGCCUCCCUAUUCUGUUUCCUUGUUCUUUUCCUUUCUAUCCAUAGAUUUUUCUACAGGAGUACUUCAUCAAUAAAUCGUACGUCCAAAUCCCUGCCUCAGGCUCUGCAUCUAGAUCUAAGUCAGAGGAAAUGAUUUUAUCAUAGAUUUUGUGUAUCUUUAAGUUUCUUAGAAUAGAUUGUAAGUUUCCUUAAAAGCAAGGUUCGUCUCCUCCCUCCCUUGAGACCUUGGGGGUCCUAACACAUUCCUUCCCACACUGUAGGUCCUCAAGUCUUUAAUGUCUUCUGAAAUGACCUGUGAUGCUGCAGAAGUACAUGAAGGACCAAAUUUUAAAGGGCCAAAUAUUAAUAUUCACAAAUUGAAAUAUGUUAUGGUUCAACUUUAGAUUGGCGGGAGUCCCCGAUUACAUAUUUGAAGACAAAAUACCUCCGUGUCCUCCAAUUCCAACAUUUUGACACAUUUCCUUUUUCUUACAAUAUUACUACCCCCUCUAGUCUACUCAGCCCUCUAGUUCUUUAUUAGUUUUAAAUACCUAAUAGAUAAAUGUACUGUUUUUUCUUAUUGUUGAAAGUAUAAAGAAACCAGUUUGAGCCAGCUUAAGUAAGAAGGGAGAAUUUUUGGAAGGAUAUGUUGGUGUUUUGCAGUAUUCAAAGAAAAGAUGGGUAAUGGCCUAUCAGAAAGAACAAAAACCAGGAUAGCUUUGGCAACUUUAGGACAAUUGUUCAUAGUCCUUCUCUUUAGAGAACCACCAUUUAUAUGACAUGAUCCCCUCAAUCUCCAAUUCUUUUGUGUCUUAGUUAAAAUUCUCAAGCACAUAGAAUCAAAUAUGCAGUUCAUUUGCCAACUCUCAGAAUAACCAGUGUCAACUAGAAGACAUGCAUGGCUAUUGGGGAUCUGGCCCAUUAAAGAGGAAAAUUUUAUGAGUAGGCUUGUGUUACACCACAAGGAAAAGAUAGAAUUUAGAUGAUAGUAGGAUUAUAAAAGCACCCCGGGGAUCAAACUUUAAAGAACUAAAAUGCAUGUUGUCUUAGUCCUUCUUAUGUUGCUAUAACAAAAUACCCAAUGCAGCAUCAUUUAUGCAGAAGAAAGGUUUAUUUAGCUCUCACUUUUGAAGGUCCAGGAGAUUGAUAUCAGCAUCUGCUCGACUAUGGUGAGGACCUUCCGGCUCCAUCACAACAUGGCAGAUGGCAUCGUGGUGAACGGGCAUGGGAGAGAGAGAUUACAUGGUUAGACAGAAAGCAAGAGGGAUCAAUAGUCCAAGCUUGCUCUUUAUAUAAUAGCUAGCUCUACUGGGAACUAACCAGGGUCCCAGGAGGACUGCUUUAAUGUCUUCUGAGGGCAGUAGCCCCAGUGACCUAAUCACCUUCCACUGGACUCUACCUCCUGAAGUUUCCACCACCUCUCAAUUUUGCCACAAAAAGGACCAGUCUUCCAGGACAUGAGCCUUUAGGGAACAAACCAUGUCCAAAUCAUAGAAGAUGCCUUGAGUAGUUAUUAUCUACUAAUGCAAACAAAAAUUGAAAAAUAUCAACAGCAUAAAAGCAAAACAGAUUAGAAAAUUUAAAAAAAAAAAUCAACAGACAUGAGCAACACAAUAGAUAGGAGAAGGAAAGGGAAUUUCAGGAGCCCAACCAGCAAAGGAAUGGAUAGAGUUAAGUGUGGUUGGUUGGAAGUGACCUGGCUUAGUUGGGACCCGGAGGACAUUCUGGACAGUGGUUAGAAAACUGGUGCUAAAAGCAGACUUCGAUGGAUGAUGAGGAGCAGAGAUGGAUUUAUUAGAUAAUGGAGAUGUGGGAACUUUCUGAGCAAAGGAAUAAGGCUAUCAAAAUUAUGCUUUUAGAAGAUCAAUCUGCUUACACCCACGGUCCUCAGAAACUUCUUUUAGGGGGAAUAAAGUCAUAAUUUUCUGUACUUUCUGGAUGUUUGAUUAUGUGGAGGCAGCCAAAAUAAAUGAUUUAUCAUCUUUAGGGAACCUGUGUGUAGGAAGGUCUGCAUAGCAGAGGCCUCUCAGUGGUGCAUCUGCACACAGAAGGAAGAAUUGGGGCAGUUUUCCCAAAAAUCUUGACUUGAGGGUGAGAAACUAAUGUGACUCCAUUUUUGAGCAACCAGCCUCUACCUCAGAGCAAAGCCUGUCCAAGGAAGGGGGCGUGACCCUUGUCCUUGUAAAAACCCACAGAGCACUCCUAAGCACACACCCUGCUGAGUUGUUUGUCUGUAAAUAACAGGAGAGGUCUGCAGGCCAGGUGUCCCUGACUCAGUUAGGCUAGGUGGGGACCCAUGGCAACCUCCAAUCAGUAUGAGACAAGGAAAAUACCUGGGAUGCCAGAUGACCCUCAAGUAGUUUAUGGUGGUUGAUAACAUGUUGGGAAAACAUGUAGUUUAGCACGCACACCCCUCGUGGCUUAAAUCAAUCAGUUCAAAGGGAUCCCCCUCUUGUACUAACCAAUCACCCCUCCCCAACUUGUUCCCGCCAGUGAAUGUGCUAAUCAAUGUUAAGAGUUGUUGUUUGAUUUUUCCCGUGGUAUGGAAUGAUUUGCUGUGUGAUGUUGUGACGCAUAGAGUAUCGCCCCAAAACCUAUAAAAUCUCACUGAACAAAGGACCGGGACUCACUCCUUAGGACCACUGCGUCAGGAAUGGUUUUGAGUCCAGGCUUGAGCUUGCAAUAAAGACUCUUGUGUGAUUGCAUUGGAUUCAACUCCUGGAGGUCUAUUGGGGUCCCACGAAUCUGGCAUAACAGAGGGGUCUCCUUAGCCUGGGCAAAUCCUGGUUGUCACUACUGGGCCUGUAGUUUUUACACUAAAAUUUGGUUUGAUGUGGCAUUAUCUGCUUGAGUCGUGUAGAUAGUGCCUCAUUGUUCCACCUUUCCUGGUUUCUGUAAUCAGGACUGUCCNGUCCAAAUCAUAGAAGAUGCCUUGAGUAGUUAUUAUCUACUAAUGCAAACAAAAAUUGAAAAAUAUCAACAGCAUAAAAGCAAAACAGAUUAGAAAAUUUAAAAAAAAAAAUCAACAGACAUGAGCAACACAAUAGAUAGGAGAAGGAAAGGGAAUUUCAGGAGCCCAACCAGCAAAGGAAUGGAUAGAGUUAAGUGUGGUUGGUUGGAAGUGACCUGGCUUAGUUGGGACCCGGAGGACAUUCUGGACAGUGGUUAGAAAACUGGUGCUAAAAGCAGACUUCGAUGGAUGAUGAGGAGCAGAGAUGGAUUUAUUAGAUAAUGGAGAUGUGGGAACUUUCUGAGCAAAGGAAUAAGGCUAUCAAAAUUAUGCUUUUAGAAGAUCAAUCUGCUUACACCCACGGUCCUCAGAAACUUCUUUUAGGGGGAAUAAAGUCAUAAUUUUCUGUACUUUCUGGAUGUUUGAUUAUGUGGAGGCAGCCAAAAUAAAUGAUUUAUCAUCUUUAGGGAACCUGUGUGUAGGAAGGUCUGCAUAGCAGAGGCCUCUCAGUGGUGCAUCUGCACACAGAAGGAAGAAUUGGGGCAGUUUUCCCAAAAAUCUUGACUUGAGGGUGAGAAACUAAUGUGACUCCAUUUUUGAGCAACCAGCCUCUACCUCAGAGCAAAGCCUGUCCAAGGAAGGGGGCGUGACCCUUGUCCUUGUAAAAACCCACAGAGCACUCCUAAGCACACACCCUGCUGAGUUGUUUGUCUGUAAAUAACAGGAGAGGUCUGCAGGCCAGGUGUCCCUGACUCAGUUAGGCUAGGUGGGGACCCAUGGCAACCUCCAAUCAGUAUGAGACAAGGAAAAUACCUGGGAUGCCAGAUGACCCUCAAGUAGUUUAUGGUGGUUGAUAACAUGUUGGGAAAACAUGUAGUUUAGCACGCACACCCCUCGUGGCUUAAAUCAAUCAGUUCAAAGGGAUCCCCCUCUUGUACUAACCAAUCACCCCUCCCCAACUUGUUCCCGCCAGUGAAUGUGCUAAUCAAUGUUAAGAGUUGUUGUUUGAUUUUUCCCGUGGUAUGGAAUGAUUUGCUGUGUGAUGUUGUGACGCAUAGAGUAUCGCCCCAAAACCUAUAAAAUCUCACUGAACAAAGGACCGGGACUCACUCCUUAGGACCACUGCGUCAGGAAUGGUUUUGAGUCCAGGCUUGAGCUUGCAAUAAAGACUCUUGUGUGAUUGCAUUGGAUUCAACUCCUGGAGGUCUAUUGGGGUCCCAUGAAUCUGGCAUAACAGAGGGGUCUCCUUAGCCUGGGCAAAUCCUGGUUGUCACUACUGGGCCUGUAGUUUUUACACUAAAAUUUGGUUUGAUGUGGCAUUAUCUGCUUGAGUCGUGUAGAUAGUGCCUCAUUGUUCCACCUUUCCUGGUUUCUGUAAUCAGGACUGUCCUGUGUCAAAGUUCUUAGGAAAAAGCCUGCCUCCCUGCGGGUGUUAGAAGCUCCUCCUCUGACCUGACCCCACUUCUGACUCUUUUUCCUUGUCUAGACUUCAGUCUCAGGAGGACAACUUGGAGUAGGAGCUCUGUUUAGCUGCUGCUGGUCGUCCUCGUCGUUGUCGUCCUCCUCCUCCUCCUCCUCCUCCUCCUCCUUCUCCUCCUCCUCCUCCUUUUUUCAGCUCCUUUGGAGAAGUUUUAGAAUAUAUUCCUUUAGGAGGAAGAAAAGCUAAGCAGAGUCAACUGACUCAAGCCAAGGAAGUUGCCUUGAUUACCAGAGUAUGGCCCUUUUAAAGGAUGACACUCUUCAGGGACUUGAAUGCUCAAGAUUGUUCCUUAAAAUGUUUCCAAGACAGUUCCUUUAACUCCUGUAAUGGCACCUCCUCCUCCACAGAAAAUCUUAACUAAGCGUCUCCAGAAAUCUUCACCAUAAUUGAUUUGAGGACAAUCAGCAAAAGAGUCUCUACAAAAAAGUUCAAUGUAGGUAAACUUCCUGUUUUCCUGUUGCUCUAUCUAACAUGGCCACUGGCCUGGAAGAAAUCAACAAGCACUCCAGGUGUCGAACACCCCUUUACUAGUUUUUCACAAACAUGUAUCCAGUAUAGUAGUUUGUAGAGCGUGUUUGCAAAUGCAAAAUGUGAUUUAAAAAAAAAAAAAAAGUCAGUUCCUUUAACUCUGGCCUUGAGCUGGAGCUUCCCAGAGAUGUCUACAUUUCUAAGAGAAGUUACCACUUGGGCUCCAUGGUAACAGCUGGCAGGGGGAGGAAAGAAAGGGGAAAAGAAACUCUCCUCUUCUCAGGCGUUGUCCUUGAAGGGUUAACUUGCCCAGAACAGUGAAAGAAAAAGCUGCUUUGAUGUGCGCUGCAGACUGAACUUCUGAGCCCCUCCCCUUACCCACUGGGUAUGAAGUGCUGAAACUCCCUGAACUCGGGGUUCAGGGGAUUGAUUGCAGCAAAAGCAGUGCCCUCUGAGCCCGGCUGCAAUCAAAUAAAACUGUUUCCUGCUAUCAUUGGUGCCCUGCUUUGUCUGUCCCCUACAAAACUUCCAGGGGAAAAAACACAGUUAAGAGGGUGUUAGUGACUUCUGCCUUUCCUGAUGGGAAUGGAUGCAUCUUCAUCUGAAAAGUGAAUAUGAAUCCCCACCUCAGCAUUUAAGAGCAGUCACGUUUUAUUUCAUUUUUCUUAAUAAGUGAAACAGUCUGAACUCCCAUCCAUGAAAGUAUUCAAGUGUUUCUGUCUCUGUUGUGUUUUAGCAAGUUCAAUGUCAAUUCUUUGGAACCAUGACAAUUCUGAGGGGCUUAGAUGGUGCCUGGAAAGGGGGGAAGGGCCUGGGCCUUAGCUUACAGAGGCCAUGGGUGCAGUACAGUCAGGUGACCCAGUUUUGCCUCAACACCUAUAGUGACGUCCUCACACAGAAAGAUGCCUCCUUGUUUUUCAAAACUCAGCAUUCAAAGGCAUCCCACAUUUACACCCCAUCUGGGGAUCCACCGGCUGGCUCUGGAUCUCUGCAGAAGCAUUGCACCCUGUCUCUCCUUCCUCUAUCCUCUUCCCUGCCUAACUCAAGGCACCUCACGCCCACCUUUCUCCUUCAGUGGCCUUGAAACCAACAGAAAUAUCCAUUUGCUGGAUACUUCACUUGCUUGAAAUAUAAUUCUUACCUCUCCUCUUGCCUGGGGUGAGCAAUCGCUAUACAAAUGCAAAAGAGGUUUUAUUGUUUCCUGAGGAAAGCAGUGGCUUCCUUCAAGUCUCCAAAACACUUCUUAGAAGUUCUUCUUUUCAGAAAGCUGGGGAUGGGUAGACCUUGGGAAUGAUUCUCCCUAACACAAGUCUUCCUUCAAAAUACCAAUAUAUAAAUAACUGUGGCAAGAAUAAAAGGAGGAGGGACAUAAGAAAAAAUAUUAGGAUUAUGGCCCCAGGUUUUCUACAAACUCCAUCCAUCCUUCCUGGGUUAGUGGCGAGCUAUUUCUAAUUCUCAUUUCAGGAGUGGGAAUAGCCCUUCAUGACUUCAGGUCUCAGGCAAGGACUCAUCUACAGCCUCGUGAGAACACCAGGUCUGUGCCUCAUAAUUGUCUUCUGAACCCUUAACACUCCACAGUGUUAAGCCCAGACCUGGGUCCCAGAACCCACAGCUUCAUGCCUGUGGAUACUCUGAAUUUCCUCUUCAUUUCAGGCACCUAAAGAAUCCCUUCCUCUUGAUUUCCAGCUUUGCUACGAUAGUCAUUAUUUUAUGUUGUUAGGUCUUCCAAGAGUUUGGAGGAUCCUUAAUUAAUGGCAAGUUUUUGUUUGUUGGUUUUUAUUACAGAUUUGUUUCUUUAAGAGAUAAAGGAAUUAGAUUUUUUUUUUUUAGUUGUUGUUUUCUAAGUUCUAUCUUUCAAGAAUUUUUCCAUUUCAUUUAGGUUGUUCAAUUUACUGGUAUAUUAUUGUUCAUAAUUUCCCAUUCUUAUAUUUUCCUUAUCUGCAGGAUUGUACUGUAAUGCACCUUUUCAUUUCCAAUAUCGAUAUUUUGUGUUCUUCUUUCUUUUAAAACUAUUUUUGCUGAGAUUUCUUAACUUUUUAUGUAAUUUCCCAAAUGAAAGUUUGACUUUGUUAAUUGUCUCUACUGUUUAUUUUCUGUUUUAUUGAUUUCUGCUCUUAAUUAUCUCAUUCCUUCUACUUAUUUUGGGUUUGCUCUACUUUCCGCAGCUCCUUAAGGUAGAGACUUAUAUAGUUGAUUUCAAGUUUUUCUUCUUUUCUAAUCCAGACACUUAAAGGUAUAAACUUCCUUCUGUGUACUGGGCAGCACUGAGCACUCCAUGAUAUUUCAUUAUCAUUCAGUCUGAUGUGCAUCUAACUUCUCUUAUUUCUUUCUUUUGUGUGUGUGUGUGGUGUGUGUUAUUUAGAUGUAGGUUAUUCAAAUUCCAGAUAUUUUGGAAUUUUCUGGAUGACUCGUUGUUAUUGGUUUUUCAAUUAACUCUGUGGUGGUCAGAGAAUAUACUACUGCCUAUCUUUCAAAAUUUAUCCAGGCUUAUUUUAUUGCCCAGUGCAUGAACUUGUUAUGGUGAACGUUCUGAAUGUGCACGCUGCAGUUCUUUGGAUGGGCCUGUGACAUCAUCCUGGCUGGAAGCAGAACCAGGGCAGUUUAGGAAACCUGAUGUCCGCACUUUUUCAUUUCAAUGAACAUUAACUGGAAUAUUCAAAGUAUCACUUAAUAAUUUCUUUUUUGUUACCAUUAAAUUGUUUCUUUCUUUGUUCCUUCUUCUACUCCUCUCCUUUCCUUUUAUUUCUUCUGCUAAUUCCUGUGGUAUUUUGGUACACAUCCAUAAUUGUUUUCUUGGGGUAAAAUCUAGGAUUCGGAUUGCUAGAUGAACAUGUAUGGGAUAACUUAAGGUUUGGUUCUUUCUUGACAAAUAAUCCCCAGAAAGUUAUCACCUGUUCCUUUUCACGGUGUACAUGUGGAUUGGACAUGUUUAUCUGCACUUCUCCAAUAAUGAAUAUUUUAAAUUAUUUGCAUGUUUAAUUCCUAAUAAGUUAGCUAGAAUAAUUUUUAUAAGUGUAUUAUGCAUUAAUAUACUCUUUUAUAAAUUAUGUGCUAGGUGCAUUUUUAUAUUUAGGCAUUUCUAUUUUUCUUAUUAAUUUUAAGUUCUUCUAUAUUAAAGUUUUUAUUAAUUUAUCAUAUAUAAGGCAAAUAUUUCUUUUUUAUUGUAAUUCUGGCAUUAUUUGAGACACAGGAACUUCUAUAUUUUAGUCCAAUAAUCUAUUCUUCUCUUUCGUGAUUUUUAUUUUACUUGUUUUAUACUUGGAAAAUCUGUCUCAAAAUCAAAUUUGAUCACUUCAUAUUUUCUUCAAUCUGUAAUAUAUUUUCACUAAUCCGUUUUUUCUUGCUUGGUAUAAAGAUCUAUCUUUUGAAAAAACUGUUAAUUCAUUCCCUAACACUUAUUGAAUAAUAUUUUGUUUCUUCCAAUGCUAGCUUCAUAAUCUACUAAAUUCUGAUAUUUUAUAAAACCUUGUCCUGGCUCUGUAUUUCAUUUUAUUGAUUUUUAUCAGUAUCUUUUUAUGCUAAUACAUCAUGUUUUAAUUAUUAUAGGCUUGAAAUAUUUUUUAAUAUCUACUGGAGCUUUUCUGGCUUCAUUUUCUUUUUCCUUUUUAAAGGAGAACUUGGCAUUUUUUACAUAUAUAUGAUAUAUGUAGUUGUUACAUAUAUAUGAAAUAUAUAUAUAUAUAUCAUAUAUAUGUAUAUGAACACAUACAUAUAUCAUAUUUUUACUCAAUAAGCAUAUUACUAAAACAUAUAUUACUCUAACCACACUUUAUUUAUGAAAAUACUAUGUAUUUAAAUUAAAAUAGUUCAAAGCCCUUGGAUGUACCAUCUUCGACUAUUUCUCUGCCCUUUACUCCAGAGACAGUAACUAUUGCGAGCUUAAUAUAUGCUCAUUUAUCACAUUUAAAAUAAUCUGAUUUGCAUGUGUGUCCACCCACUAACUGUAUAAAUUAUAUUGUUUGUAAUUCUGUUUAUCUAAAUAGUGUCAUAUGUCUAUCCCAUUCUGGUUUAUUCAGUGUUAUUGUGUUUUCAAGGUCUCUUCAUUGACAUAUUUGUGGGUUUAGAGAAAUGUGACAGCUGUAUAGUUUUCUGAUUCAUGAAACAUUACUAUAUUCAAUUUUUUAAAUUAUUUUUAUACAUUUAAAUGCUUCAGUGUCUUCACGUCUACAAAAAUUGUGGUGAAUGUCCACUCACGUGAACCUGUAUUUCAUAUGUAAUCAUAUUUAUGAUGGAUCCCUGGAAGUACAUGGGGAAGGAGCCACAGAGUAUCACAGUUCAAUUUCAUAGAUCUUACCAGGUCAACCUACAAUGCAAUCCUACCAAUCUGACCUUCUAUUAAUAAGCUAUCAAAGGACCACUAUUCAUAUCUUUGCUGUCAUUCGAUGUUGUUAGACAUUCUAUUGUGUGAAAAAUAAUAUAACAUUAUUCCUCCAAUUUUCUCUUCCCUGGUUAUUAGUGAAGUUGAGCACCUUUUCAUAUGCCUGUCGGUUACUCCUAUUUCCAUUCUUGUGAACUGCCUAGUCGUACUUCUUGCCCACAUUUAUUUUUAAUUAUGUGGUUUUAUUCUUGUUAAUUUCUUUGAUUUCCUUAGCUAUUCUGGAUAUUUUGCUAACAUGUUUUGCAAAUGUUCCUGCUGCUUCAUUGCCCGGCACUUGACCUGGUUAGAGAUGUACUUUUUUAUAUUAAGAAUUCUAAUUUUGACAUAGUCAAUUUUAAUCUGUGGCAAAUGCUUAGUAUGCAUUAAAUAUUUGUAACAACUAGAAAUUCUGUCCAUAGUCUAUAUUGUCCACAGUAAGGAUUUUAAAGAAUUUGUUUUCAUGUUAUUUUAAAAAUAUACCUGUACAUUUUUUUUGAUGUAUAUGAUAAAAUGUAAGAAUCCUAUUUUUUCCCCUAGUACAAAGUGAUUGAGUAGUCUAUCCAUUCCUCAUCAUCUUCAUUGAUUUGUGAUAGCAUUUAUACUAGUUCCCAUGUAUAUAUAAGAUCAUUCCAUAGUUCUCUGUUUUAUUCUGUUCAUCUAUGGUGUAUUUUUGCUUUAGCUUCAUAUCCUUUUAAUUAUUAUGGCAUUACAGCAAGACUUGGAAUUUGGUAGGUCAAAGUCCUCAUUAUUCUUUUAGAUGAUUGUUUUAGUUGAUUUAUUCCUCUAUUCAUAUGAAGUUUAAAAAAUGCUCAUCAUAUUUUGUACUUUAGUGAUUUCAAAGAUUAAUUGAGGAUUAAAGGGCAUGUUUGACAUGCUGAGUUCUCAUAUUAAGUAGCAGCACACACCUCCCAUUUUAUUCCAGGUUUUUCCAUCCUCCUACAAAAUUCAAUAAAUUUUUUUCACUAAGUUUCUAAAUUUGGUUUGUUACCAUCAAUCUUAUAGGUUUUGAAUGCUAUCUUUUGUUUUAUCACAUUCCAUUGAAUUUUGCUUUCCUCGUUUGAUGGGUUCCUGAUUAUUUCAGCUAAUUCCAUUGUUCUGAAUUUUAAAAUACACUGUCAAAUUUUUAAUAAUAUAAAUAAGUAAAACUCUCUAGUUUACCUUUUUUAGGAUCUUGGGUUUUCCAUUUGGACCCAUAUCUAUUGUAAGUAUACCUGGCACAAAUCUGCUGUGGCAGACAGUGACCCACAGCUUACUAAUGCCGUCUCCUCCUCCUGCGCACAGAACUUAGCCCUUCUUACUACUUGUUGAAGGCAACGUUGCCCAUUCUGACCAAGAGAAUGUAGAUGGAUGUAAGUGAUAUAGGCCAUUUCCAGGCCUGGUGUAAAACCACCCAUGAGACCUUCCUCACCCAUUUUUUUUCUUAUUCACUGUGUGAAUAUAGAAAACCCAACCAAGGAUUUUGAGGAAGAUCUAAAGGGAUGACAGAGUUACAAGAGGGUAGGACCUUGAUUUCCUAUUUAUUUUUUUGGAGGAGAGCCACCAAGAAGAAUUGCCUGACCUGAGUGAGGUUAUUUUCUUUGUUAUAUUUGAGCUACUGAGAUUUGGAAGUUGUUUCAGUGACUGGUAACAACUGUCCUAAUAUACUAGCCUUGACAAACAACUUAUUGACAACCACUCUGAGGAUUCAGAUUCCAGCUCUGUCCUUGAUUAGUGAUCCAAACCUGAAAAAGAGAUAUGAGGCUGAAUAUUGAGCUUGGGUCUGGACUCUUGAAUGAGAAUUGGACAUGAGGGUAUGCUAAUAAAACAACGGAAUUCUAAGCUGUCCUGGUCUGGUAGAUUAUUUUAGCAGUCAAAGAAGGAAAGUGACCUAUGAUGAUGUAGUUCUUACUCCCAGGAACCCUGGAAUCCUAAGAAAGAUAACAUGGUCUCUGAACCAUCAGAUCCCUCUAGGCUAAACAUAAAGAAUACCCUUUGCCUAUAUAUUAAUUUGUUUACAUUCAAUUCAGUGUCUUAAUCCAUUUUCUGUUGCUGUAACAAAAUACUUGAGGCUGAGUAAUUAAUAAAGGGAAGAGGUUUGUUUAGCUCAGUUUUGGAGGCAGAAAGUUCAAGAUCGGUAGCUGCAUUCUGGUGAGGGCCUUAUGCUACAUUACAACAUGGCAGAUGGUAUCACACAGAGAAAGCAUGUGUGAUACCAUCCCAUUAGAAAGUCAGAGGUCAGAUGCCAAGGGAGGAAGCAAGAGAGUGAACCAAAGAAGAUGCUUGCUUUAUAACACCCUUCCUCAUAAUAAACAAUCCUGUAAGACAAUUCAUGCUCUUGGGAGAUGGGCAUCAAUUCCUUUGGAGGAUGAUGCCCAUGUGACCCAGUCACCUUCCUUAAAGCCACCACCACCUCAAAACUGUUACACUGAGGAAUUAAACCUCAGCAUGAGUUUGGUGGGAGAUAAGUCACACUUAAACUAAAUCAUUCAGCAGAAACACCCUGAGCAUGUCUAUAUCAUGCUGUCUGCACACAUAUCCCAGAAUGACUUUCUCAGAACCCAGUUGCAUCUUUCUAAAACUCCAGGGAAGCUAUUCCCAUAUAUAGUUACUCUGAAAUUGAUUUUCUAGACUCUAGUUGUAUAAUAAGGACACAUCAGGCCCCGGAGACAUUCUUGUCUAUAUCAAUGAGUACCAAAGCUAAUUAAUACACAGGGGAGCCUUUCUUCUUUAGGAAAAUAUCAUCCCAUUAGUGCAGAUGAGAAGAGUGAUUCGGUUUAUUGUGUGUGUAAAUUCUAGUCACAUAAAUUCAAGUUGCCCAUGGAAGUACUUAACCUUUCAUGGUCAAAAUGGUUAUAAGGAACAUUAGAGGGAUUGUGUUUUUCUCUAUCUAAAUUCCGUAAGUGUAUAUUUGAGCAGAAAAGAAACUAAGAAUAGGAUGCAACCUUAGCUAAGCAAUGAAGUCAUGUCUCACGAGGAAAAAAUAAUGCUUCUUUCAUACCAAUUAACCUGCCUUUCAAAUUCUUGCAUCACAGAAUAAGAGCCAAGUGAAUGUUUGUGUCCUAUAAUGUGAGAAUUGGCAGCAAAGCAAACUGGUCUGCAGAGCAUUCUGUUCAGUGCUCUAGAGGUCAUGGGGAAGCACAGAGUGCUCAGACGGGGUUGAAUGAUGGGCAUAUCCACAGGGAUGGGAUGAAACAAAUUAUUGAUCAAGUGGCAAAAAUGUAAAGCAUACCUACUCUGCAUACGAACCUACCUCUGAAUAUUGUGCACCUUUUCUGGCAAGUAACAUAGCAGUGUGUAUAGUCAGAGACAUUCAAUUACUCAUACCUUAAACAUAGAAACCCACACUGUCAAAACUGAUCCCAGAGAAAUAAUCCAGAAGCAAAAAAGUUUCACACACAAAAUCAUCGAUUUUAACUAAUUAUGUUAUUUAUUUAUAAAUUUUCAUAUUGUGUCUGCUCUAUGCCAGGCACUGUGCUAGGUACUAGGAUUUAACAGUAAACAGGAAAGCUGGUGCUAAUGGCUCUCAUUCUGGAAGUAUGACAGUGAUGAGAAUCAGAAACUCUCCUCCUACAAAGCAACUGUCACCUAAAAAUGAAAUUUUAAAAGGACCAUCAAGUUUGACAGAAAGCUCAGGGAAACAAUGGGGCCAUAACUGGCUGAAGGUGAGCAAAACAGCUGCUCUGCAGGCAGGAAACCAUGAAGGAUGCAUGGGAAAACCAGCUUGAAGAACAUGCUGCACAGAGAUAGAAAGGAGAGAUCCUAUCUGCUCCAGCACUGGCCUUGACUGAAGGUGGAGGAAAGUUUCCCUUGAGAAUCUAUGACCCAAGGUGAGACCUCAGGAGGAGCUAGAGACUGACUCUCAUAUUUAAGGACUGACAAGCCCCAAUAGGUACUUCUACUUUAAAAUGGCAAAGAUGGUACUGUUCUCAGGUAGCUGGUAGGGAAAAAAAUGUAAAUAUUCUCAGAGAAACUUAGAAUCCUAGCAUGCUUGUGGUCCUGGGUUCAAUCCCCAGCCCUGCAAAACUAAAACAAGACAAAAGAACUCCUGUAAAUAGAGACUCAAGAAUGUGAAUUUGUGAUAAUCAUCAUCAUAAUAGUAAUAAGUCCUACACAAAGGGAAACAGGGUGUCCAUGAGUGAAAGGCAAUCCAAUAAAUGAAAAUAGAAAAAAAAACAGAGUCAGACCCAUUAGAUUUAAUUAUUUAAUAUAGAAUGCAAAAUAGGUAUGCUUAAUUUAUAUAAGAAAAUAGAAGAGCAAAUGAAGUCAUAAUCAGGAACUGGAAAUUAUCUUUAAAUGACCAGAAACACUGGGAAAAAGAAUUGAAUUUCUAGAAAUAAUUAUAUGUCAACUAAAAUGGAUUGGUUAAACAUCAGAUUACCCAGAACUGAAAAGAAACAGUGAGCUUCAAGGAGAUGUGAACCUUUAAUUAUAUGGACUAGGACAAACAGACAAAGAGACAUGAGCAAAAAUUAAUAAAGAAAGUGGAAUAGGUUCAACAUGCAUCCUCUGAGACCUCUAGAAGGAGAUUAUGGAGAAAAAAUAGGCAAUAUUUGAAGAAAGAAUGGCCAAGAAUUUUCUGGAAUUGUUUAAAGUUGUACAUUUUCAGAUUGAGAAAGUCCAAUGGAGAAUGGUUAAAACUAUGUUCACAUAUAAGCACUUUGCCUUUGAGGCUUUUUGUAAUUUUAUUGUAAAGGAAAUAUUAUAAAAGCAGCCAGAGAAAACAGAAGGUUAAAGAAAUGACUAUUGGGUCGGACUAGCUUCAAAGUAAUGAGGGAAAAAAAUGAGCAACAAUCUAUAAUUCUCUACUUUCAGAAACAAGAUGAAGAUCAAGGCAGGUUUAGAAAAAUUAAAGAGUUUACUAGUACCACUAGUACCACUUUUAUUAUGCACAGUAGGAAAUGAUCCAAGAGAAAGGUAUAAGAUAUGAGGAAUGUUGUCCAAAGUAGAGAGUAAACAUUUGAACAUGUGAAGAAAAUAUUGAUUAAACUCAAUAAUACUGAUGUUAAAUAUUGAGAGCUAAUUAAAACAAGAGGUGGAUUUUAUCAUGAGCAAAAUUAGCAUAAUAGUUGGUUUUUGUGACAGAUGAUUAAGAUUAAGGAUUCUUUUAUGUUUAAUAGUAAAGUGAAGAUAUUUACUUUUAAAGUCUAAAAGUCUACAGGACAAAGAACAAACAUCCAAAUCAAUAAGUACAGCAAAGGAAAGCAAGAGAAGAAAAAGUAAAACUGUGUAAGCGUAGGGCAAUAACACAAGACAUGAUGCCAAAAACAAAGCUAAAAAAUAAGUGAAAACAAUAGCAAAGAUGACCAAAAAAAUUCAGAAAGCAAUUGCAUGUUUACAAGAAACCCACAGUAAACACAGGGAGGGUUGAAAGUUAGUGUAAAAAGAGUAACACGUAAAUACAAUUAACGGUUGUAUUUGUAUCUGUUAACAACAGACAAAAUAAAUUUCAAGGGAAAAAGUAUGGUUAAAGAUUUAGACAGUCACUUUAUAAUGAGAAAAAUGUCAAUCAAGGAGGUAAUACAAACUCAUAUCAUAGCUACAUGAUAUAUGAUGCAAAAAUUGCCAGAACUCUGAAGAAGUGAUGAAUUCCAAUAUUCUCUAUCAGUAACUGAUAUAUCAAGUAGAUAAAAUUUUGAAAGACUAGGAAGGAUUUAAGCAUUGCAGUUAUUAAGCUUGAUAUGAUGAGCAUAUAGAAUAUACCCCAAUAAUUAGAAAACACAUGUCAUUUUAAAAUACAGGAAAUAUUGAUUAAAAACUGUCAACCAAUCCCCCAAUGUAUAUCAUAUAGGCAUUGUGUGUGUUAUAUAGUAAAAUAUAAUUAUAUAUUAUAUAAUUCAUGUAUAAAUUAGCAACACUGCCAAGAAAUAAAAAUAAAUUUUUAAACAAGUCUAGAAAGACCAAUGGGUCAAAUAGUAAUUAUUAUGGAAUUCAGGAAAAAAAUUCUGGAAGAAGUGAUUCUAUUAGAAUAGAAAAAGGCCAAAGAUUAAUAUGAUAGCAUCUAAUUAAGAAAUCAGAGAAAGAAAAACGAAAGUAAAUCACAAAAGUAAAAAAGAAGAGUAAAGCAUUCCACUGUCAUGUAUAACUAAUUAGAACCCCAAAAAGUGAAAUGGUGACACAAAUCUAACCAUAUCAAUAUAUAGUAUUAAAUGUGAAUGGGUUAAACAAUCUAAUUAAAAUUAAGAGAUUCCUUGGUAUUUAAAAAAAAAGAGAUAUUAUCAGAUUGAGUAAAAAAAUAUAAGAUCUAACCACAUGUCAUCUACAAAAGAUGCACUUUGAUCCAAAGAUACAAAUAGAUUUAAAAAUUAAAUCUAAAAAAAUAAAUUAAAAUAUUAAAAAGGUAGAAAAAGACAUAUCAUGUAAACCACAGAAAAGCUGGUAUAGCUACAUUAAUAUCAGAUAAAAAUAGGAUUUAAAACAAGAAUGAUGCUAGAGAUUAAGAGGAACAUUUUAUACCAACAAAAGUUUUGCUCUUCCAGGAAUAUAUAAAAAUUACGAACAUCUAAUGCAUCUCGUAAUAAAGUUGCAAAAUACAUGAAGCACAAACUAAUGAAAACAGAGAGAAAUUGUCAAUUCAAAAAUUAUAGUAGGUGAUUUUAAUGCCCUACUUUCAAUAAUGAAUAGAACAACUACACAGAAGAUCAAAAAGGAAAUAGAAAACAAUACUAUAAACCAACUAGACCUAGUGAACAUCUAUAGAACACACCAUCCAAUAAGGGGCUGUACCUUCUCUUCAACUGCACAUUCUCUAAGAUAUGGCAGAUGCUGGGCCACAAAACAGACCUCAAUAAUUUAAAACAAUACAAAUAGUACAAAAUAAGUUCUCUAACCUCAGUAGAAUGACAAAUGGUAUCUACUCCUAGGUAUAUAACCAAGGGAAAUGAAAAUAUAUCUACAGAAACACAUACACAAAUGUUUAUGGCAACAUUAUUCAUGAGAAUUAAAAAGUAAAGCAACUUAAAUGUCUAUCAACUGAUAAAUGCUUAAACUAAAUGUGUCCUGUCAUACAAUAGAACAUUAUUCAUUCAAUAAAAGCAAUGGAUUCCAGAUGCAUACCACAUCAAAAAGAAACUUCUUUACUUCCUCAAUCUGAAAAUGUACACCUUUAAACAAUUCCAGAAAAUUCUUGGCCAUUCUCUCUUCAAAUAAUGCAUAUUUUUCUCCUAAUCUUCUAGAGAUCUCAAAAGAUGCAUGUUGAAUCUAUUCCACUUUCUUUAUUAAUUUUUGCUCAUGUCUCUUUGUCUGUUCUAAAUUCAUAUAAUUAAUGGUUCAAAUCUCCUUGAAGCUCAAUGUUUCUUUUCAGUUCUGGGUAAUCUGAUGUUAAAUGAAUGAAAAAAAAAAAAACAUAUGCAAAGGCCAUAUAUUAUAUGAUUCCAUUUAAAUGAAAUGUUCAUAAUAAACAAAUGCAUAGAGACAGAGAUUAGAUGAGUGACUGCUUAGGGCUGGGUAGAAAUCUAAGGGACAAGAGGUAGGACAUGUGUAUAAGGGAUGAUAACUAAAGAGUAUGGGAUUUUUUUUUUUACACAAUAAAAAUGUUCCAAAAUUGACUGUGGGUGAUGAUUGCACAUUAUCUGUGAACAUAUUAAAAAACAUUGAAUUGUGUACUUUAAAUUAGUAAAUUAUAUGACAUAUAAUUUCUAUCUCAAUAAAGGAGUUUUAAAAAGGUAGAGGAAGGCAGAGUCCUCCAUGGGACUCAGCCACCUGGUGCAAACUAUUUUAUCAUCUCUGAAACUAAAGGUUAGGAACAUAAGCCACGUUAAUAAUAAAUUGGCCACUGUUCUUGAAAAAAAAAAGAAGAAGAAAUUUAUGAAAGAGAAAACAAAUAGAGUUAUCAAAACCAAAAUAUUUUAUUUUUAAUUAAAGAUUGAUAAAAUCAACACAUCCAAUAAGAACUGACAAAGAUCUAAAAAAUAUGAAGAGACACAAAUUAGGAAUUUAAAAAAGCCAUAGCUAAAUAUGAAGUAAUGAUUUUAAAAGAUGGUGAAAGCAUGUAAACAACUAUGCCAAUGAAUUUUUUUAAAUGGAUAAAAUGAGUAAACUACGCAGGACAAUGUCACUGAAUUAGUGAUGUUUGUUUCAGAGAAAUUUCAGACCUCAACAUUUUUAUAGAUGAAUUCUACAAGACAUUUGAAGGAUGCUUAUACCCAAUACUACAUAAAUCUUCCAAUAAGGAGACUGAGUUAGUAAGGUAUUUUUUUUCCUUGUGAGGUUAAUAUGAUCUCAAUACUAAAACCAAACAAGGAUAGUACAAGAAAGGACAAUUAUAGGUUCGUCUCACUCAUCGAUAUGCAUGAAAUAUUUUAAACAAAAUAUUAGCAUCCUGAAUUCAGCAAUGCAUUAAAAAAUACACCUCUUAAUCUAGGCUAAAUCCUAGAAAUGCAAGGUUAUUUUAAUUUUAGAAAAAAAAAUAUUAAAAUGUAAAUCACCUGAUUAACAGAUUAAAGAAGAAAACCCAUAUCUAAGUAGAAACAGCAGAAACAUUUGAUGAAUUCAUUAUCUCAAGGAAGUUAGGGUUAGGUAAAUUUCCUCACCUAAUAAAUGUUAUUUGUUGAGACUUAAAAGUAUUCCUGUGAAAAUCAUGAACAAGAACAGAAUACUUCUUUGACUGAUUCUAUUAAAAAUAUUGCUAUAGACACUAAUCAAUACAAUCACAAGACUGUACUAGGUGAUUGGUAUAUGUAUAUUCAUCUUACUAAGUUUUAUUAUUGACAUCUGUUGCAUAUACUAUUUUGAAUGUAUAGAAUACUUAAUAAUAAAAAAUAAAAGCAAGUGUCUUAUGAAGAAAAAAGAGAACAGAAGGGGAAAAUAAUAGAUGGUAAAAAAGAAGGACAUAUCCCUCACGGAAUUUACAGUCUAGCAGUAGAUAUAGGAAACUAAUUGAGGCACAUGGAAUAUUACAUACUAAGUUUCAGGAUUGUUGGGUUAGCAAGUAGGUGACAGGUUAUGAUACUGGCACAUAAUCUUUAAUUAAGGUUCCAAAAAGUUUCCCAUAUAGAAAUUGAUACAUAAGUUGAGGCUUAUAAGAUGAUAUUUGAGUGUAUUAUGUUACUACUACCAGAGAGUGGGGGAUUUAUUUAUUUAUUUUUUAAAAUUGCUUUUAUUUUAUAAAUACACAACAGCGGAAUGCAUCACAAUUUUUAUUACACAUAUAGAACACAAUUUUUCAUAUCUCUGUUUGUAUAUAAAGUAUGUUCACACCAAUUCGUAUCUUCAUACAUGAACUUUGGAUAAUGAUGUCCAUCACAUUCCACCAUCAUUGCUAACCCCCUGCCCCUUCCCUUCCCCUCCCACCUCUCUGCCCUAUCUAGAGUUCGUCUAUUCCUCCCAUGAUCCGUCUCCCUAACCCACUUGAGUCAGCCUCCUUAUAUCAGAGAAAACAUUCAGCAUUUGUUUUUUGGGGAUUGCUAACUUCACUUAGCAUUAUCUUCUCCAAUGCCAUCCAUUUACCUGCUAAUGCCAUGAUUUUAUUCUCUUUUAUUGCUGGGUAAAAUUCCAUUGUGUAUAUAUGCCACAUUUUUUUAAUCCAUUCAUCUACUGAAGGGCAGCUAGGUUGAUUCCACAGUUUAGCUAUUGUGAAUUGUGCUUCUGUAAACAUUGAUGUGAACAAUAGAAUUGUAUUUCCUCCAGUUCUGGAGACUGGAAGUCCAAGAUCAAGGUGCCCACACUUGGUGUCUGGUGAGGACUUAUUGUCUGCUUGGUGCACUUCCUCAGAUGAAAGAAGGAAGAAGGGCAGAGAGCUCAAAGGGUGGCAGAGGAGACAGUAAAGAAAGUACCUGGCUAGUUUCUUCCAGCCAUUUUAUAAGGUGUUGAUCUCAUCCUUGAGGAAUAAGCCACUGGGGACUGACCACUUUCUUUUAGGAGCCUCCACCUUUUAAUUCUGUUGCAUUUGGGGACUAAGUUUCACCAUAAGUUUUGGAGAGAACAUAAGCAUUAAAACACAGCAGAUGAGGAGGGAGUUGCCUGACAAAGACUUGGGAGAUUGAGAAAUCAAGUAUGGGGGAAAGCACUAAUGGGCAGGGUCAAGAGCAUCUGCAGAGGGCUGUAGCUUAGAGGUUUGGGAUCCUCCAAGAAUUAGCCUGACCUGAGCAUAGAAUCAAUCCCGGAAAAUGAGAGACUCUUGAGAGGUUCAUACAGAUCAGGCUGCAAUGAGCCAGAUGCAUUCUUUUUUCUUCUCUCCUGGUAUUAUCUACAUUAUAAAGUAAACUGAAAAUAGGAUAAAUACCCAGAAAUUGGAGGACAAAGAAACUAUGGGAUAUUUGGUUGACUCUAGGAAAUUAAGAAAAAAAAAAGAUCAUUAUGAAGCCUUUGUAGAAAACUGGAAAAAAUCUUUAUGAUUCUGAUGUAAAAUUCUGAACAUAGAAUCAUACUUUACUGCUUCCACUGUAAUUAUAAACUUAUAAAAUAUGUAUGCAUGAAGACAAAGACAGGAGGACAAUAUACCAGAAAGAACAUUGUGUUAGGAUAUGGAAUAUGGCUGGGUUUUAUUCUCUCCUUUUGAAAAAUGAUGUUAAAUAUAUCCUCAUUUAAAAAUUUAAAAUGUUACAGACAAUAUCAGUGACUUCUAUGAGCACAGGGAAUGGGGUUUUGUUCAUUAUUGAAUCUUCAGUACCUGCAGCAAAGUAAAGAUUGAAUAAUUACUUAUUAAAUGAGUGAAAGAUGGGCAUGAUUCUGAUUCUGGAAGAAUUGCUGAUAAUAGCCUAACAGCAGCCACGUGAUAUCAGGUGGGUCGGAAUUGCACUUCAGUGCCGAGGUAAGGCCAGAUAACACUAGUUGACCUAAUUGACUUUGUAUACCAAAGGCAGGUCUACCAGAAACAGACGGCAGCACUUUGCCAGAUUAGUAGAUAGGAAUAAAGGAAGAGUUGGAAGUAGGCUUUUUUAUUUUUCUGUUGUGAGGAGGGUACAGAAAACUGUUAUCUGUAUUUUAAAUUUUAGAAUAUUAUUAUAGAAAAUAAAUAUUUUAAAGAAGAUUGGUGGAAAUGAGGCAAAAAAAUCCUCAAAACUACAAUGAAUUGUAAUUUUGUGAAUUCUUUUCCAAUUUUUUCCAUGUAUGGUCAUAAUUAUUGUGUAUGUAUAAUUUUCUAUUUCACUUUUCUUAUUUAAUCUCAUUUCAUGAUAUUUCUUCGACAUUUAAAAUGUAAAUUUUUAUUGAGUUGCGUAGUAUUCCAUCAUCCUGGUAUCCUACUAGCCCUGGUAUCCUUCAUCCCUUUGCAAUGCAUGGAAGAUUUUUUUGUUACUUUGAUAUUCUUUAUUUUAAACCAUAAGAAAAAACUUGCUGUAUAUAUUGGGUUUUUUUUUUUUUUUUGUCUCCUUUGAAUGAUUUCCUUGAGUUUUAUUGUUAGAAAAAGAAGGGAAUUCUGGGUCAAAAAUGAGAUCUGUUGUAAUUUGAUAGGUGUGUCCAGAUUCCCCUAAAAAAAGAAUAGAAACACUGUUUCCUUAUAUGUCCUGCUAGAAUGGAAAGCACUCAUAUUUCAGUCUUUUUUUUUUUUUCACUGCUGUGACUAAAAGACCCAACAGGAACAAUUUAGAGGAAAAAUUUAUUUAGGGGCUCACGGUUUCAGAGGUCUCAGUCCGUAGAGAGCCAGCUCUGUUGCUCAGGGUUGGAGGUGAGGCAGAAUAUCAUGCCAGAAGAGUGUGGUGGAGGGAAGUGGCUCACAGGAUGAUCAAAAGCAGAGAGAGAACCUAACUCAGCUCACCAACUGUGUACCCAAAAGCACACUCCUAAUGCGCACCUCCUCCAGCCAGACCCUGCUUGCCUCCAGUGUCCUCUCAGAAAAUCCCUGUCAAGGGAUGAAUUCACUGAUUGAAUUAAGACUCUCAUAACCUGAUCAUUCCACCUCUGAAUGUUCUUCCAUUGCCUCAUACAUGAGCUUUUGGGGGACCCCUCACAUCCAAACCAUAACCACUUACUUAAUCAGUCAGGAUUCUAGGAUAAUGUAGACAUAAAGUAUUUGAUUUCUACAUUUUGUAGGUAGAAUCUAGUGAAGCGUUUUAGAGAGAGAAGAAAACUGGCAAAAAUAAUAGCACUAAUAAUUCCUCAUAUUGUUAUUUCACUGGAUUGCCAUAAAAUAUGUUCUGACAGUAUUGUUUCCAUUUACUAAUGAGCGGAGUCUCAGAUUAAAUGACUGUUUCAAAGUCAGUGGAUACUUAAUGGCAAGCAUCAGCUAAAAUUUGUCGCAAUUUCUAGAUGACUAUGGCAGGGUAGCCAUAUGUAGAAAAUAUAAUAGCUGUGGAUUUUUAAUCAGUGGGAAUUUAGGGGUUGAGAGAGGAGAUAUUGGCUGCCUAGAAACAAAUACAACUUUGCUAAGUUCUAGCUGUAUAAAUUUGAUCAAGUCCCAUAAACAUGCUGACCUUGGAUUUCUUGAACUGAAAAAUGGAAUGACCAUAGUACUUGCUUCAUGAGGCUUCUGUGAAGAGUAAAUGAGAUGACAUAUAUCAAGGAGAAAUGUAGUGCCAUCAUAUAGCAACAUUUAAUAACUAUUAGCAAAAUUCCUAAGAUCCAGAUUCUUUGAAGUUUGGCAAGGAAGUUAACCUGAUUAACUGCCACCAAUUCUUUUCUUCGAGGCACUGUAGGAACCAAGAGAUUUUUGCAGUUGAAAUUUCUACAUUUAGAGCUUGAAUGUUUUGCAAUGCUUUUCCCUAACACUUAUCUCCCUUUUGCUAGGACAAAUUUAUCAGAGAGCAAAGUAUCUCUUCUGGGGAGCUGUAGCUUUCUUGAUAUUGAUAUGUGUUGCUUAUUCCUGACUGUUGUUUUAGAUACUAGCCAGAUUUUCACUGGUCCUAGUUUUUUAUCAUUCUGCUUUGACUACGCCUUCCAGGCCACUUGAGGUGUUAUGUCAUUCUGUGACUUCGAACUAGACAUGAGUCAUAAAACCAAAUUGCCUUGGAACGUUUUUAGCAUUUUGGGCUUAUUGCUGUUUUAGACAAUGACAUACUUUGUUUUACAGAGUUCUAAUGAAUGGUAGUCUAAACAGAUAAUGUUGGGGAAGUCAACUUCUAAUAACAAUUGAUUAUACUUACUGUGUGGUUGGGGAGAACGAUGAUUUUAAAUCAAAAGAAAACAGUUUCUGUGUACGAUCUAUGUUUAUAUGGCUUUGUGCCCAUGAUUCAGAAAAAUGUCCUAGAUAUAACUGCAUUUUUUUGUUAAUGUUUAAUAUAUUCAGGAACAUAGUGAACUAGAUACUGAAAGUACUUUCUGAGUUUGGAGAUUUCAUGUGAAAGCGCUCUCUCUCUCUCUUUCUCUCUCUCUCUCUCUCUCUCUCUCUCUCUCUCUCUCAUCAUUCACAUUAUUACUAUUUUGCAGUGUUGGGGAUCAACUCAGGGCUUCAUGCAUGCUGCACGCUCCAUUAAUAGGCCACAUCCCCAGUGCCACAUUUUCAUCUGUAUUUAAGUUGACUGGCCACUUUCAAAUGUGUCAUGUUAAAUUUGGAACCCUAGGAGAAUAAAGUCAUUCAUUCCCUUGGUCAACAAUUCCACUCUUCCCAUGGUCUUCUUGCCUGCUCCAAGUGCUCUGUAAUCAUGCCCCAUACUUAAACAUGUCAAGAUCAAUGUCAAUGUCGACCCCUUUCUACAUGUUGAUAAAUCCAUGGUCAAGUCUCUGACCUCACCUGACUCCACCUUUCAGCAGCAUUUCACAUGACUGACCCUGCCCACCUUCUUAAGACCAGGUUCUUUCCUAGAUUUGGAGAACCACAUUCACCUGUUGUCUUAUUUUUUAUAGCCACACCUCAGUCUGGCUGCAAAGAGUCUUUACCAACUACCAGACUUCCAAAUGGUGGUGCCAAGAACAUCUCCAAGUACAUCACUUCCUAGAUGAGCUUAACUGGUUCUAUUGCUUGAAGUGCCAUAGGCUCUUUUGACAGCCAAAAUCCUGUCUCCAAUACAGACCUCUCCCUGUGAGCUCUACCCUCAAAUGCAUGAAUUUAUGUGGUUUCUUUAGUAAAGAUGUGCAAAUGACACUCUGCCCUGCAAACCUUCCCACCUUUCUAGAUGAUACAUCGUCACUCAUGCCAAAACCAAGAAUUUAGUCUUGAUUUAUCGCCUUUCCUCCUUCCCUACACCAACAUUAUGUUUAAUGUGAUUAGUGAUAGGCUUAGUUUUAAAUCUAUCAUCUUGUUAUUCAUUUUCUAUUUGUCGCAUCCAUCUUCUGUCCCUAUUUCUCUCCAUUUUAUGCAUUGUUUUAGAGCAGUUGAGUAUUUUUAUGAUGCUGUUUUACCUCUUUUAUUGACUUAUUUAUCUGUAAGCCCUUGUUUUCUUAUGGCAAUGGAUACUUUUGCGUUUGCAGUGUACAUCUUUAGCAUUGCCUCCAAGUGAUGUUAUGACAUUCCAAACCUAAGUAUCUUGCAAUAGCUUACUUCCAUUUCACCCUUCCUUGGUUUUAAUAUAAUGUUGCCACACAUCUUACUUCUAACAUGCUGUAAAACUCAAGCUAUAUCAUCAUUAAUUUUUAAAAAGAUUAGUAUUCUUAAAGCUAAAUAGUAAGAAAAAAUGAUAUAGUUACCCAUGUAGUUAUCAUUUCUGGUGCUCUUAAACUCACGGUUGGAAUUCAGUUUUUCAGCUGUUAUCAUUUUCCUUCUGCUUAAAGACUUUCUUUUUGUAAAGACAGAGAGAGAGAGAGAGAGAGAGAGAGAGAGAGAGAGAGAGAGAGAGAGAGAGAAUUUUUUAAUAUUUAUUUUUUAGUUUUUCAGUGGACACAACAUCUUUAUUUUCAUGUGGUGCUGAGGAUCGAAUCUAGCGCCCCGCCCAUGCCAGGCGAGCGGGCUACCGCUUGAGCCACAGCCUCAGCCCUUAAAGUACUUUCUUAACAUCUCUUACGUGUAUAUCUUUUGGCAGUGAACAUUUCCAUUUUUUUAUGUCUACAAAAAAUAUUUCUUUUUGUCUUUGUUAUUUUUUCAAUAUCGAUUUUUGAUUCAGAACAAAAUUGUGAAGAAGGAACUAAGAGUUCCCGUAUAACUCUUGCCCUACAUGUGCUUAGCCUCCAGCAUUAUCAACACCCCAUCAGAGUGGUGUGUUGCUUAAAAUUGAUAAAUCUACACUGAUGCAUUGUUAUCACCCAAAGUCUGUAGUUUACAGGUGGGUUCACUCUUGGUGUAUACUGCAUGCAUCUGGGUAAAUGUAGAAUGAUGUCUACACUGUAAUUGGGCAUACAGAGUAUUUUCAUUGUUUUAAAAAUCUUCUGUGCUCUGCCUGUUUGUUCCUUCCCCUGAUCCCCAACCCUAUCAACCUAAUCUUUUUUGCUGUUCUCUUUCUUUGCCUUUUCCAGAAUGUCACAUAGCUGGAGUCAUAAAGCAUGGAACCUUUCAAGAUGAGCUUCUUUCAUUUAGUAAUAUGCACUUAAGCUUCCUCCAUGUCUUUUUGUGUCUCAUUUCUUUAGCACUAGACAACGAUCCAUCCUCUGGAAGUACCACUGUUUUAUUGAUCUAUUCACUUGCUGAAGGAUAUCCCGGGUACUUCCAAGCUUUGGCCACUUGAAAUAAAGCAUCUUUAAAUAUCCAGCCUUGAGUUUUGGUUUGAACAUAAGCUUUCACUUUUCUCUCUCAUUUUUUACCAUCCCUCUGCAGUUUACUUUCAUCUUCACUUACUCCUUCUGUGAUGCUCCUCCUUCCUUUAUGAAGAUCUGCGUUUCUGAUCUACAUUAUUGUCUUCUCUCCAAAGAACGAAUGUUAACAUUUCUUACAAUGGAGGACGAUUGGCAAAACAUCCCCUCAAUGUUUGUUUGAGAAAGUUUUUAUUCCUCCUUGCCCUUGGAAGGAAAUUUUGUGGGUAUAGAAUUAUAGGUUCAUGGGAUAUUUCCUCUCAACACUUGAAGUAUUUUUAAAUAUUUCAUUCCUCUGUCUUCUUACUUGCAUGACAGUUUGAAAAUGAUAUGUCUAGGUAUAGGGAUCUUGGUUUCUGUGGGUUUUUUUGUUUGUUUGAUUUGAUUUGGUUUUUUUGCUUUUUUUUUUUUUUUUUUACAUUUAUCCUCAUGACAUUUUCUGAACUUCCUGGAUUUGCCAUUGAUUUGGGAAAUUCUCAGUCAUUAUUUUUUCCAAAAAUUAUUUUGUUUCUUUCUUCUCUUUCUUGCAUUUUCAUUGCAUAUUUUUUUAUAAUUUUUGGGUCCUUUAUUAUUGUUCUUUUUUUUUUUCUUUUUCUCUUAAGUCCUUACUCUGGCAUGUUUCAAAAUGGCUUCUUUUUUCCUCCCCCUGCCAGAAUCAAAAGAGGAAUUUUCUCUGAUAUUUAUUAUGAGAACCUGGCUAAGCUCCUGGAGGCAAAACUUACAGAAAUACGAGGAACCCCCACCCCCCUCCCCGUGACUGUCUUACUGAGUUAGAAGUUUUCUAACUCAAGUUCUUCACACGGAGACUAGUUCACCAACUAUAGUUCAGGCUUUCUUUUUAUAUAUAUAUUUUUUAUUUGUUGUGUUUAGAUAUACAUGACAGUAGGGUGUGUUUUGACAGAUAAUACAUACAUGGGGUACAACCCAUUACAAUUCUGAUCCCAUUCUUAUGGUUGAACAUGUUGUGGCGUUACACUGGACAGGUAUUCAUGCACGAGCAUAGGAAAGUUAUGUCUGAUUCAUUCUAUUGUCUUUCCUAUUCCCAUCUCUCUAUUUCAUUACUAAUUACUGUAGUGGUUUCUGCUAUGGGUCUACUCUAGUACCUGGGAGUCCUUUCACCUGGCAUUUGAUUCUCCAGUCUGGGGCAACAGAUUGCCCUGUGUCUUCACUCCUCUUACAGAUUGAAGAAGAGUUUUCUUUAAUUUUCAGUCUUUUCAGCUUUUGAAUUAUAGGAUGGACUAAUGAUUUCUAUGCUCUUAUAUGUGAAUGUUACGGUUUGAAUGUGAUGUAUCCUCCAAAAGCUCAUGUGUGAGACAUUGCAAGAAGGUUUGGAGGAGAAGUAAUUGGGUUAUAGACUUAACCUAAUCAGUGAAUUAAUCCUGGUGGAAUUAACUGAGUAGUAACUGGAGGCAGAUGGGGGGUGGCUGAAGGAAGUGGUUCAUGAGAGGCAUGGCUUUGGGGUAUAUAUUUGUGUCUGACAUGUGGAGACCUCUUUCUCUCUUUGCUCUCUGAUCAUCAUGUGAGUAGUUUCCCUCUGCCACACUCUUCUGCCAUGAUGUUCUGCUUAACCUUGAGCCUCCAGGAAUGGAGCCUGCUGUUUACGGAUUGAGACCUCUGAAACCGUGACCCUUCAAGUAAAGUUUUCCUCUUCUACAAUUGUUCUGGUUGGGUGUUUUAUUUAUAGCAGCAAAAAAAAAAAAAAAAAAAAACUGAGUAAAACAGUAGAAAACAAGAAGCUGCCUUUGUUUUUGAAAGGCAUUUAAUGGAUAAAGAAUUCUAGGUUGAUAGAUGUAUUUUCCAGAUGGUAUUCUACUGACUUGUCACUUUCACUCUAAUGAGAAAUAUCCUAGAAUCAUUAUUUUUAUUCCUUUAUGAUACGUAUUAUUCUUUAAUGUCUUUUAAGAUCUUCCAAUUAUUACUGAUUUUGAACAAUUUGAUUAGGAUUGCCUUGGUGUACUUUUCUUUAUAUUUCUUGUCUUUGUGGUUUAAUGUACUUUUUGGAUCUGUGGGUUUAUAAUUUUCAUCAAAGUUAGAAAGUUUUCAGGAAAUAUUUUUUUUGUUCUUCCCUUUUUCCCCUUUGGACAUACAAUUGCUUGCUUAUUAGGAUGCUUGAAAACUUCCCACUGCUCUCUGCAUCUCUUAUUUUUUUUUAUUCUUUUUUUUUCUGUGUGUGUCAUUUUGGAUAACGUCUCUUUCUUUAUCUUCAAGUCCACUAAGCUUUUUUCCCCCAAUAUUUAUUCUGCCAUUAAUCUCAUCCAGUGUGUAUGUGUGUGUGUGUGUGUGUAUAUAUAUAUUCAUUUCAGAAAUUAUGAUUUUAAUUGUUAGAAAUUCAUUUUCAGGUAUUUCUAGAUAUAUCUCCCAUGUUUCACCUUAUUAUAUUUAAUCUUUUCUUUAGUUUUAUAAAUAUAAAAUUCAGUGAUAAGAACUAUAGUCAUUGUACCUGAUAAUUUUUAUGUAUGUAUUGGUUCUGUGCUUGUUUGUAACUAACUGACCUUUCUUCUUAUAUAGGUCAUAUUUUCUUGCUUCCUUCCAUGUGUGGUGUGUUAGAUAGUGUGGAUUUUAUAUUAUCAGAUGCCAGAUAUUUUUGUAUUCCUAUAAAUAUUUUUAUACUUUGUUCUAGGAUGCAAUACACUUAUUUGAUCCUUUUGGAUCUUGCUUUUAAGAUUUCUUAAGCAGGGCUGGGGAUGUGGCUCAAGUGGUAACACGCUCCCCAGGCAUGCGUGGGGCACUGGGUUUGAUCCUCAGCACCACAUAAAAAUAAAGAUGUUGUGUCCACCGAAAACUGAAAAAUAAAUAUUAAAAAAUUCUCUUUCUCUCUCUCUUAAAAAAAAGAUUUCUUAAGCAGCACAACAAAACAACAUUAUUUCUAGGGAUAAAUUAUCCUCAACACUGAGGCAAGAUCUUUCUGAGCAUUCUAUCCAAUGUUCUCUGAAUUAGAGGUUUUCUAAUUUGGUUCUUAAGGACAAGCACUAUUUGCAGACUUAUGCAAGCAUCAGUAAUUCUUUCCACUGAUCCUUUCAGGUGGUUCUUUUCUUAGACAUGGGUGGUUCCUCACCUGCUCUGAUCAGGAUUUAGCUAAACAUCUAGGGGUACUUCUUAUAUAUCUCCAGUUGGAGAGUUGGCUGUCUAUGGUCUGAGACUUCUGAAAUCAUCAGUGCCAGACAAAAAUUUUCCUCCUCUAAAAUUGUUCUUUUCAAGUCUUUUGGUCGUAUUGGUGACAAAAAGCUGACUAAAACCUAUCAAAAUGGAAUGGUAGUUUGAUUUACUUACCUCUUGUUCCCAGUCCUGUGGGUCUUCUUUUUGAACACUUAUUGUCAAAUAUUAUUGUUUUUGAAGUAAGUUUCUUACAGAUAUCAUAUAGAUGAUUAUGGGUCUUUUUAAAGUCUGUUUUUGUCCACUCUACUGACCUAUAUUUUUUAAUUGGUGUUUUAGGCUAUUUGUAUUUGUUAUUUAUUAAUGUUAGGGCUUUAGGUCUGGCAUGUUGUUUGUUUUCAUUAUUUCUAAUUCCUCUUUUCAUUAUUUCUUAGCUUCCUUUGGUGAUUUAAGCAUAUUUUGAAACCAUUCAAAUAUAUUUAAAGUAUUCUAGAAUAUAUUGCCUUGUAUACUAUUUUUGGUUUUUGGUAGGUAUUGCAAUAUUCAUUCGUAGCUUAUCAUUCUCUCCUGCUAUCACUGUUAUAACGCUUCAAAUAAAGGAUAGAAAUAUCAUUUAUACAUACGCUACUGAUUUUUCAAAAUUUACUUUAGAAUGUUCUUUUCGUUCACAGUUCACCACAUCAGGUUGUAUCACAUGUUUUUAUUCAAUAUUCAGUUAUAAUUCAGAAAUCUCAUGGGAGAAGAAUAGUGUAUUUACUCUUAUUUCUUACCCAUCCCAUUAUUAUUCUUUGCUUUCUGUAGUUCUGAGUCUUCUUUUUUAUUAUGUUUAUCAUUGGAGAGCUUCCUCUAGCCAUUCUUUCAGGGUAGGUCUGUUGAUGACAAAUUCUACUCUUUGACCAUUGUUUCAGAAUACCUCUAUUUCCCUUUUAUUCUCAAAGAAUAGUUACACCAGUUAUAGAAUUCAAGUUUGAGAAUUCUUUUUUAGUGCUUAAAAAACACUGAGCUACUUUUUUUCUGGCCUGGUUUCAUAUAAGAAGUUUGCUGUCAUAUAAGCUGGUUUUUCUCUAUAAGGUAAUGUGUCAUCUUGUGACUGCUUUCAAGAUGUUUGGAUGUUUUUUGUCUAGUUUUCAGGAUAAAAAAAUUUAUAAUGUAUUAGAUUAUAUUUCUUUGUAUUUAUCCUCCUGAGUAAUCACUCAACUUCUUGAAUCUGUAGAUUUAUGUCUCUCAUCAAAUUUAGAAAAUUGUUAGCAUUAAUUCUUUAAAAAAUACUAAGCCCCAAUGCUAUUCUGUUUUCUUUCUGGGACUCUAUUUUCAUGAUUCUUGGAAUUACAUUAUUAUUUCAUAGAUCCCUGAAGCAAUAUUUUGUAAAAUAUUUGUAAAACAUCUGCCCUCUCCUUGCUUUUCAGAUUGAAUAGUUCCUAUUAUUCUGUGGUACAGAUUUUUGAUGACUGCCAUACAAAAAAUCAUACCAGGGGUGACUUAUAAAACAGUAAUUUAUUCCCUCACAGUUCUGUAGCCAAGAAGUCUGAAAUCAAAAUGUUGGUUGGAUUAGUGCCUCGUGAUGUCCGAUAGUUUCAGAACUCCCUCCUUAACUUGAGGAAUGGCCACUUUGUGUUCAUAUGGCAUCCUCCUUGUCUGUGUAUUUCUGUGUCCAAAUUUUUCUUUCUAUAAAAAUACUCAUCACAUUGAAUAAGAGCUACCCUAAUAAACCUACUUUAACCUGAUUACCUCUUUAAAGACCCUUUCUCCAAAUAAUAUUAUGUUCUAAGGUACUGGGCAUUAAGAUUUCAACAUACAAAUUUUGAGGGAACACAAUUUAACUCAUAACAUCUGCCCUCAAGUUCACUGAUUAUUUCCUCUGAAAUAUUCUGCUACUGAACCUCCAAUGAGUUUUUAAAAAUUUCAUUCUUGUGUUUUUCAAUUAUGUAAUUUCCAUUUGAUUCUUUUUUAUAUAUUAUUUCUUUGCUAAAAUUAUAUGUAUAUAUUUGUUUAUUUGUUUCAAAGGAAUUUAUAUUUGCUUGUUGAAUAAUAUUUGUGCUGGUUGCUUUAAAUUCUCUCUCAGAUAACUCCAACAUCUGCUUCAUCUUGAUAAUAACAUCUGUUGUCUUUUCUCGUGAUUUCCUUUGACUCUUGAUAAGACAAGUUAUGUUCUAUGAUAAUCUGGACAUUAUUUAGAAGUUUUAUUCUCCCUAUUUAUUUUUUUUUCUUACAUACCAUCACCCUGUUUGGAUUGAGCAGGCAGAUUCUGGACUACUUUUGUGGGCUAUGGUUCCAAUGACUGUUUAGUCUUUUUGCAUUACUAUUUUGAUUUGCUAUGUCUGGUGCCAUGGGAUUUCCUAUUAAUCCAUGAUUCCCUCUUCAGGGGUGGACAACAUUUCCUCUAGCUUCCUGAUGAUUUUAGAUGAAGGAAGUAAGUCUCUGGCCUUCAGAGAUGGAAUCCAUUUCCCUGGACCUAUUUGUUUUCAACAGGAUUUCUCUUUGAUCCAGGGGAGAAAUGUGUCUGAGAUAUCUUCUGCUACUUAGUUGGGGGUUUGGAGAUUCCAGUCUUGUAUCAUCUUAUGCCACUGGAUGGUAUUUGUGGUCCCCUGGGUCAAUGUUGUUUCCCCAGUUCUGCCUUACCCUCAGUCAGUCUGACUACCUUUCAGACAUUUAUAAUUUUCCAGUGGUUGCCUGUUUUAUUAUUUCUCGAAUUUGUGGUUAAUGGUGAGGAGCAGGAAGUGUCAAGUCUGUGCCAGCUUGGAAAUUCCAGGAAAAAAAAUGUUCUUAUUCUUUAAAAAAAUAUGUUUUCUAUUAUUUACAUGGAUUUUGGGUAGAAGGUAAUAUAUACACUUAGGUCCAGACAUUUGACUUUAUGCCACAUUUUUAAGUUGGUUCUGCUAGUUAAAAGAUUUCCUAAGGCAUAUUUUUCCACCCUGGAGUUGCUUGAAAAUAAUUAUUUGCAUCCUUCCAUAGUUUUAAUGAAUAUUUGUUGCUGUUUAGGCUUCAAGAUGAGGAGAGGGCUUUGUGAGUAUCCAGUUAUGAGCUGUGGAGAAGCUGAAGUAUGGAAAACCAUAGAUCACAAAUGAGUCUUUAUAAAGGGAAAAGGAAAAAAAUCCCAUGAAUUAAUAAAAUAACAUUAUGUCUUCUUUGGGGUUUUUAAAAUUUUCUCCAUCUCUUAUUAGUUCUAUUCCAAUCUAUCUGCUGUUUCACUAUUAAGAAUGCAAACUAUUUUCUAGGCAUGAAAUACAUUAAACAUUUUAAUAAAGUUUUGUAUAAAUUUUUUCUUAUUAGUCAGUCUUGGCGGCAAAACUAUUUAUUCUUAAUAUAGAGAUGUUUAAUUUUGUUAAACCAACCAGAAUUUUUAACAAGUUCCUAUUCAUGAUAAUCCAUGUGAAAUCUAAAAACAAUGACAACAAAACCAGUCCUUGAACUCUGGCUCUCAGUGUUAGUUUCAAUGUCAUGAGAUUUACUCAUCUGUCAUUGUUUGGAACCUCAUUAGGAAGAAAGAAAUUUCAAAGGUUGUUAUUAAAAUCCCUUAUGAGUUGAUGAGAUAAAUAGUUACAUGGGUUUCAUUUGGGAAAGCAACAUGCCCAUCUGAUAGUAAACUUUGAUUAUCCCAAGAAAAUUUUAUAUAAAUCAAUGAAAAAAUGUUUAAGUGCAUUAUAUAUGCCCUGCAUUCUGACAGUCUGUAGGAAAUAUGCAUAAGACAAAGUUCAUUCCAUUGCUCACAACUUGGAUUUGGAGAAAACAAAUGCAUACAUGGAUGGUUAACUGGGAAUCUGAGACACUUUUCCUCAGUAAAGCAUGAGUCCAGUGAAUGAAAGGCCAAGCAAAUAAUGUGAAUUGAAGAAGUCAAGCAAGGCCUUUAAGAGUAGAAGAAAUGUGAGCGGGUAUUCAAAAGAUGAGUCUAGAAUAGCAUAAGGGAGAGAAAAACACCCCAAGUCUAGACCCAGAGGUGGAAGGAAUCUAGCCAAUGUUUCCUAAAUGGAGGAGAGCAGCAUGUUCAGAAAAGGGUGAAGCUUUAGGAAAGUGGGGCAGAGAUGAAUUAUCAAGCCAGAAGAUCCCCUUGAUGUUCUAAAAGAAAACAAUGAUCAUGUCUCUCAAUGGUAAAUGGGGAUAACAAUUGACUUUCUUAUUCUCUGUCCCCUGCAUUGUGCCCUCUAAUCAGAUGGAUGAAGACAAUGGAGAAUCUAAGCUUAGUUAUUUCUUCAGCUCAUGGAUAGAACAAUCAUGAUUCUUCUUUUCUUCCUUUUCCUUCUUCUUCUCCAAAUGUUCUAAUUCCUGCUGCUGUGGGCCCAGCCUGCCCUGCAGUUACAUUGCACUGAAUAUGCAAAUCUACUUUUAAGUGAGGCAUGCUUAGUCAAAAGAAGCUUUUGUUAGGAUUUUGAGAUAAAACUUCCCUUCUACAAUUCCAAAAAGGGGUUCCUAUUUUUUAUGACCUAUUUCCAUUAUGAUUUUUUUAUUUUAUUUCUUUUUUUUCCAGCAAAUACAUGCUCUGAACACUGAGCGCCAGAAUAAAUGUUUUAAACUGUAAGUUUUUUGUUUAGACUUUAAGUGACAAAGAUACAGAAGCAUCUUGCAUUCUCAGUGUAUAUAUAUUUGUUAUGGUUUGGAUCUGAAAUAUUCUCCAGAGUCUUAUAUGUUCCGAGGGCUUUGGGGAAGGGAUUGGAUCAGUAGGGCUCUGACUUCAUCAGUGGAUUGAUCCACGGAUGGCUGAAUAGACUACUGUGAGGAGGAACCUAGUUGGAGGAAGUAGCUUAUUUUGCAGGCAUGUCCUUGAAGGGUUUAUCUUUUCUUUGGCUUCCCCAUACUCCCAUGGUUCCUGGCUGCCCAAAGUUGAACAUCUGUCCUCUGCCCUGCCCUUCUGCCAUGAUGUUCUGCCCCACUUCAGAUCCAGAGCAAUGCACCUGACCACACACUGAAUCCUCUAAAACCAUGAGCUAAAUAAGUCUUUUCUUCCUCUUGUCUAGUAUUUUGGUCAUAAAGACAAAAAGAUGACUAGUAUAUUGUUUUGUUUUAAUUUUUAGAGUAGUUUUAGGCUUACAGCAAUGAUGAACAGAGAGUAUAGAAUUCCCAUAUAUUCCCAGCCUCUACCACCAUCAGCUCCCAGCACCCAAGUAGACCAUUCUUACAAAUUUUGAGCCUACUUGUUAUAUCAUUACUACCCAAAGUCCAUAGGGUUCACUCUUGGUGUUGUACCUCUAUGAGUUAGACAAAUGCAUAAUGACACAUACCUAACAGUAUUGUGCAAAAUCAUUUUACUUCCCUAAAUUCUAUCUGUCCUCAACUUUUCAUUCUUCCUGAAACUUCCGGAAACCCCUAGCCCUUGACAACCACUAACUUUUUUAUUUUCAACUUAGUUGGUCUCUUAUAGAAUAUCAUACUGUAUGUUGGAGUGAUAUAUUAUUUAAAUUUUUCAUUUUGACUUUUUUUCACUUAGUAAUAAUGUGCAUUUAAAUUUCUUCCAUGUCUUUUCAUGACUUGAUUGAUCAUUUAUUUUUAGUGCUAGAUGAUGUCUGGGACGACCACAGUUCACCCAUUCACCUGCAGGGCAUUUUGUUUGUUCCCAGGUUUUAGCAAAUAUGAAUAGAGCUGCUUUAAAUAUCCAUGUUCAGGUUUUUGUGUAGACAUAAGGCUCACUUAAGUUGGGUAAGUACAAAGGAGCAUGAUUAUGUAGUCAUAGGGUAAGAAUGUUUAGUUUUUUAAGAAACUGCCAAACUGUCUUCCAAAGUGAAUCCUAAUGUUAACUAUGGACUUUGGGUAAUAAUGAUGUGUCAGAGUGGGCUCUUACAUUAACAAAUGUACCCCUACGAUGGAGGAUGUUGGCACUGGGGGAGCUUAUGUAUGUUCAGGGAAAGAAAUAAUAUGGGAACUAACUUUCUGUACCUUCCACUCAACAUUGCCAUGUCUCUAAAACUGCUCUCAAAAAGAUAAAAAUCUAUUAAAAAUAAUAGUAAAAACAAGUGAGCAAGGAAGAGGGAUUUUUUAAAAUAACAUAAACAUCUAAAGCUCCUUAAAGUCAGAACAAGGCAUGAUUUAUCUUUCUGACUCUUCAGCCUGCCAAGUAUCUGGUGCUUGCAUGGUAAGCAAAGUAUGCAUUUGAUUUCUGCCAUUCACUUUGCCUCUUUCUUCCUUCUUCCUCCUUCCCAUUUCCCUCCCUCCCUCCUUCCUUCCUUCCUUCCUUCCUUCCUUCCUGUCUUUUGGUGCUGACAAGCCUUGUCAUAGAGUAGCUGAGGUUUUCCUUAAGCUGUUAUCUCUUUGCUGAUUCUAUCUCAAGGAGUAAUUCCUUCACUCAGUUUAGUGGAAUUCCAAUCAGAUUAAUUGUUUGGAGAUUCUAAGAGCAAAAUUUUCCUUAGAUAGUAACAUUCAGCUAACAACGCACAGAGCCAUGAGUCUAGAAGUUUACUGACAUCCUUCUUACUUGUGGAAACAGCAAAAUUCUGUGGAAUAUGUAAGCCAUAAGCACACGAUUGUUAUUCCUCACCAUUGUUUUGGAGAUAAACCAUUAGGUUAACUCAAUUUUAAUUUGAAAUAAUUGCUUUUAGCAAUUUUAUUUUAUAACUAACCGCAUAGGUUCAUCUUGUUUCAUCUUCUGUUGCCAUAGGAACAAAUAGAUAAAUUAAUACAAUUGUCUGGGCAUAAUGCAAAUAAUUUCUUUGAUGUAUUGUUUUCCAUUUUAGAAUGGAGCGCUUGUCAAAUUGAAGGGAUAGAAUUAUCCUACAAACUUUAAAUAUCAUAAUGUUGAUAACACAUAGUCCAUCUAUCAUUACUUUUAAAGAUACUUGGAAAUUCUAGCUUGAUUCAUUAUCAUAAUGUUAACGCUGCACAUAGAACAUCUGCAUUUUAUUUUCCUUCUCACGAAUAUCAUGGUAAUUAAAUCACUGUUCCAUGGUGUCCGCUUUUAAGUACUGUAUGUACAAAGAAAAUGUGGGAACUUUUUCUCAACAAAAUCACAUCCCCAACAUACAAAAAAGCUUUUCUAAUGGAUUUACUCGCAUAAAUAAAUCCUUCUCUAGAGUUCAAGUAAAAAUUCAAACCAAAAGCCUUGAAGGAACAUGCCACCCAUGUUCAGGGAAAGUGGAGAGACUAGAACCUGACCCCUGCUUUGUGAAUCCGGUAUUCAAAGGAGUAUCCCAGGCUCACAGGCAAGGAACUGCCUAAGGGAAUGGAAAACCCAGGGAAGGAGUGUCUUCAAAAGCAUCAAAUUUGGGAAAGGGGAGGGAGAGGGGAGCAAAAGUAGGGAUAGUUUCAAUAACUUUAAAAAUCAAAUGGAUUUACUAAUAACAAGUCUGUGUGACCAGAAUCUAUAAGAGUAGUUGUUCAGAGUGCAGGGGCCAGGGUCGCACUGUGUAGGUUGCAAUCCCAGGUCUGCCCCUUGCUAGCACUGGGAUUUUUAAUAACUUAUUUAACCUGUCCGAAUCUCAAUUGUCUCCUUCGGAAAAUGGAUGUUUCCCAAAGUUGUAGGAAGACUAACAUGAAAUGCUCAGGAAGUGUUACUACUAUGCCUGGCAUAUUAUAAGAGUUAAGCCAACAUGAGCCAUUACUGCUAAUGAGGAAACCAGCAGUCACAUAUGUAUGCUUUUCACUGGGAUUCCAUCAGCUUUGGUGAUAGGAAUGUUUACAUCAUUGUGAUCUGAUACUGUGACUAGCAAUUAAAGAUGACUUUAAUUAAAAUGAGGUAAUUAAUCCAUGUCUUAAUAAGCACUACGUGUUUGAUGAGGUGUGUCAAAACAAAGUAUUCAAAAACAAAAAUGACAGAAUCAAAGUGAAAAGGAAAGGGGGAUUCUGGGUGGUAAUAGUCAGAGGUUUCCAUGGUGGACACUGAAUGCAAGAGAGAGUCUGAGUCAAAGGGGAAGUGAUGGGGCAGGAUCAAUGGAAAAGCUGUCAUCAUGUCCCCAUCUCUUUUCCCCCCCCCCCCCCUUUCUCUUUUCUCUGUCCUUCAGCCAUACUGUUUUAGUUCCCAUAAAACAUUGUCUUUUCCCAGUUGGGCCUUUGGACCUGCUCUCCCUUCUGCCUGAAACAUUCUCACCCCCAUUCAUUGAACUAAAGCGUCUGUCCUUUAGGUAUCAAUUAAAAUGCAUCUUUCCAGAAACCUCACUGAUGCACUGGAUUGGGUCAGGUACCGCUACUCAAUUCCGCUGUAGCACCAGGCGCCUGCUCCAUCAUCCCAUGAUGCUGUGUUCCUUGUUGAAUGUUUGUCUUCCCUGAUGGACAUACGUGAGCUCUGUGAGGGUGAAGACUGCCUCUAAGGUCUCAUGUAUCCAGACCUACUAGUACCCAGGGGUGCUCAAUAAUUACCUGGUCUCAUUGGUGUUCUUCUGCACCUACUUGUCCCAAUCUCCCUUUGUGGCCCAGGGCUCAGAAUAAUGCUUAUACCCCACAGGGUGGGGAAGAGAGGAUAGGUAAUAGACAAGAUUUUUUUUCCUUUUAUUGAUCUCCGUGGUUUGCAGUCCUACUACCACAAGCUCAUCCAUGGCCCCCUAACUUCCCAUUUGUGGUGCUGGAGAUCUCCUCCACUGGGUUCCAACAGCACUGAAUGCUAUGAUAGAAAGAAACAAGGACUUGGGGAAUUUCUAAGGACAGUCCUUUACGCAUUCAAUGAUAAUUAAAUAAUAAGAACAACAAUAACAACAAUAGCUGGACUAUAUAGAAUGUUAAUCUUGUGUCAUGUCAUUCACUUUGUGCAUGACCUCAUGAAGUGGAUUAGUAUUAAUACUCCCUUCUACAAAUAAGAAAACUGAGGCAUAAUACAGUGGAACAACUUUGAACCUGAACUCUUAACCAAGAUAUAAUUUAGCAUCUCAUGUGUAUAGGUAUUAGCAACUAUGGGCCAAGCAAGGCUAGAUGCUAAAAACUGCAAAAGAUUUCUCAGACCUUGGUCUUGGGAGCUUAAAGUUGGUGGAGAAUUCAUUCAAAAAUUAUUCAACAGGUGCUGAGAUGACAACUGAACUAGUGGGAUGAAUUGCAUGGUGGGAUGUAGGGCAAGACACCAGGAGGGUACACGUCUUGUGCCUUGGGAGAACAAGUCACUUGAAAGGCAUUUUAAUCCAGUUUGCACCUGCAUAGCCACAGGCAUUCAAAUAAGGAUUGUGGUACUUGGACCAUUUCUGUUUCUGAGUUAAUGAGGGAAAGUUAAUCCUUAUUCUCCCUGGGGACUUUUUUCCCUUGGUCAAUGGUCAGCUUUUUCUUGUACUUAAAAGGGGAGAAAACAAAGUCCAGCUUUGAAAGCAUAUGGUACGAUUUUAAGUUAUUAGACCAUUAUUAAUGUGCAGGGGAACAUUUCCAAAAUGUUCUCCUAGGCCUUUGAUUCAAGGAAAAACUAUUUUAUUAAUCUGUGUAGUAUUUUCUAUCCAAAAGCAGCUAAUCUGUACAUUUCAUGGUUUAACAUUCUCAAAGACUUUUGAAGAGAGGGCACUUAUUUACCCACUUUUUGCUAAACACAUUUAGUACUGUCUUUCUUUGUUCAUUCAAGAAAUGUUUUCUGGCCAGCUAAGGGGCAUGCUUUGGUGGUACCUGCAGAAUACCUGUGGUUCUUUUGCCUCCUCUUUGGCUCACUAACCACAUGUGCAUUGACAGAUGUCUAUGACUAUAUAUUUUAUAAUUUAGCAACUAAAUCAGUUGUUGGUUGACCAAGCAAUAUGGUAUAAUGAAGACAGCAUGAGAAGAUAUAGAUGUAAGCUCUUGACCAUCACUUACUAGCCACUAAUGAGUCCAACAGAUAUUUAUUAAGCAUUCAUCAUGGACUGCACACUAUGCCAAAAAAAAAAAAGAUCGAACUUGUCAAGGUGAAUAGAUGAAGGAGUGGCACAAGGUGAGCUAUCUUAAAAUGAAUAGUUUUAAUUCAGACUUUACUUUUACAAGUAACAUUAGUCUACAUGAACCAGUUCAAAUAAAAAGGAUUUAUUAUCAGAUUUCUUAUCAGGCCAAAGAGGUGCCUCAAGGGAAUGUAGUUGAAAACAAAGGCUAGACAGGCCUUACUGGAACCAAAACUUGGAAAUAAGCAAAGGAGGAUUUCUGAGGCUGUUCUCCACCUCGAUUUCUCUACUUGCUUCUCUCCAGUCUUUACAAAGCACCUUUCUCUAUUUAUCAUUACUCAAUCUGUCUCAUAACAGGUGCCUCAAGCUCAAGUCUAGUAGACCCAUGGGCCCAGUUGCUCAGAGCUGAGUGUCUUCGUUUCCCAAUUCUUGCUUGCAUAGAGUAAAACUGAGUAAGCUUCAGCUCAGAUCCUAUUGGAUGAAAUCCUUCACACUAAAUUUUGUUAUGGGGCAAUAGAUUUCCUAGAUCAGUUGCCCAUCCUUGACCCAGGUAGCUGUAAGUGGCAGGAUGAGGCUGCAUCACAUGGCAGUCUUAGUUUCUGCCACUCAAUGGCUGAGGAAAAUAAGGCAUGGAAAGUUAACUUAUUAAUACAUUUUGUAGAUAUUUGAAAACUUUGCCUUGGCAUAAUUUUAAUAAGGGUUAAAUGACCCUAAAUUCUGUAAUGAUCUGAUGGAGCUUCCAGGAAUAUUUUUGCCUACUGUUGGGCCACUCUAAAUAAUGUGCCAAUAUGUGCAAGGAAAUGUAUCAUGGUGCACAAAAUGUCUGCGAAAUAAUGCAGAGAGAAAAUUAUUCCAUUUAUGAGCCAUAUCUUUCAACAGCAGCUCUCUCGAUGGUCUUGAACACGGGGGGUUAAAGUGGUAAUUUACUUUCCAAAUUCAAGUUGGAAUUAAUUUUCAACCCAGCCGUAUGAUUCUUUUAAAAGCUUAUAACAUUAUUUGGCGCAAAAUGAUAAGAAGAGAGAAAUAGCUAAAACAUGGCUUAGUAACCAGGAUAUGCCCUUACAAAAGGGAAGACAAGAAAUUGAUGCUAUUAAAAGGAUAAUGUACUUUUCUUUUUCUUGAUGAAAGAUUUCUCUCCCAAGAGGUACUUGGUCAUAGCUAUUUUUUCGGUCAAGGAAGUGAUUCAAGUGAUUCUAGUUGUUGAACUACUUGUUCAGCGAGGGACAUCACCAGAACACAUCCAUUACAAGAACAUUUCAAUGAUUUUAUUUUUUAAUGAUCUCAUCAAAGCAGAGAAAUUGGGAGUAGAGUUUAUGCAAAAUGGAACAGAGGGGAUGUUAAAGAUUCUUCUUGGGAAACUGAUAUAGAAUAAGCCACAGUUUGAUAGGUAACUCAUUAAAUAGUCUCACUUUGUGUGGUUUGCUUGCUUGAGUCACACCUUUUUAAGAUUCCAACAGGAUGUAAUAGAAGAAAAUACAGACACACACACUGGCUCUAAAUCCCGGUAGCCUCUCAUCUAUGGAAACUUCAUCAAGUGAUGGACCUCAAUAUCUUCAUUCUCAUCCAGUCUACUAGGAAGUCAGGUGAGAUUUCCUGUUGUCUUGGAAUUUUGACUGAGGUUCAAAAGCUGAGGAACAAAGGAUAUAAAACACUCAUGCAUAUUUAAAAAUGAAGCCCAAACCAUUUGCUAAGGGGUAGUUUCACAGUUUAUCAACUACUUUAAGUUUAUGAGAAGAUGGAGAAGAGAAGCAGAGUCUCUUUGGAAAAGAGAAGAAUGGAAGAGUGUGCUUCCCUCACCUCAAGUCCAUUUCUUGUAGAAGAGAAUGUUUUCAAAAGGGAAGUUUAACCCCUGUCCCACCUGGGAGUUGGGCAGCUGGGAUCCCAUGAUCACUCAGGGACUAAUGUUGAAUGUGGGGAGAGUCUUCACCCAAUGUCUGUAUCUCCUUCAAGUCCUCUACUCAGUGAAGUCUUCCCUGACCAAUUACCUACAAUUGCCUUUUAGAAAAUCCCAUCUCUCUCUACUGUUUCAUUUUUUCCCUCCACAGCAUAUAUUACUUUCUAAUUUAUUAUGUAAUUUGUUAGUUAUUUAGUUAAUUCUAUAUUCCUCCCAAGAAGGUAAAUUUUAUCUGAACAGGGUCCAUGUUUUGUCUGUCACUAUAUUCCAAGUGCUUUGAAUGGUACCUGGGGAGUGGUAGGGCUUCAAUACAUUCUUAAAAUGAGUUAAAUCACAAAGUAAUGCCUAUGUCCUUUCGAUUUGGGAGAUGCAGUGCACCUGACUCUCUGAAGGGGGCACACUGUUUUGAAAGGCCCCGAGGACAGGAACUGAGCAGUCUACAGUGAGAUAGUCAGGAAAAAAAAUAUGGGCCAAGUGUGCGCAGAGGGUUGAAAUUGGCUCAGAUAAUUAAAUAAGUGAGUCCAAAAGGACAACCCCAAUCAGAGAAGGACCUGAGAAGGAGUGACCAGUGAUCAGCAGAAGGAACAUCCCAAAGGUAGGAAAGAGAACACGACGGAGCCAUCAAGAAGGGUUCUCUGCACUGGCAUUGGUCAGUUGCCACAGUUAGUGGGCCACAAAGCCCAAUUAAGGUAGGCCCCAUUGAAUGGGAUCUUUCCUGCUCGUCCCUCUCCCCUUCCUGCAAAAACCCUGGAGGAAAGGGAGCCAAAUUACUCACUUGGAUGGAGACGUGAAAGAGUGAGGCAAAGGGUUUAGUGAGGAUGCUGGGGUCCUCACCUUCCCACUGUAGGUUUCCAACCCAACCUCAAGGUGGGUCAUUGUAAAUCUAUUGAGAGAACAAAAAUUUGAUAAUAGAAAACACUGGACUUGCAAACUACCUCCCCCAAAUAAGAAAUUGUCAUAUGUGAAAGUGACAACAAACGAUGGGGAAUCCAUUUGAUGUUUUACUGAACUUUAAUUGUUUUUAAAAAGCAGGUUUUAAUGGCAAUGAUGAGAAGAAAAAAUUAGCUUUCUUCCUUUCCAUACCCUACUGAGCCAGCUUGUCCAAAAAGCCACAUACAUGUGAAAUAAGCAAGGGAGGGCACAUGCUGCAUGUCACACAGUAGGCCCUCAACACAUGUCUACGGUUGGUGGUAGCAUCAGUCUUUGCAGCCUUCCAGAAAUAUCCCCCACCGGACUUCCAGUCUCUGCCACGUGUCCCUACUCAGUUUGUAUGUUUCUGUAUUUACUGUCUCUUUCAUGGACAUUUCUCUGGUAUUUCUAGUAGUUUACACAAAACAGAGACUAUAGAUUUCCUUUUCAUUUUCAUGAGUUCUAGCAAUAAACAUGAAGAUUUAUAAGGCAGCCAUAAUUAUCGAGGACUUAUUAAGAUACCAGGCAUGCAUAAUUUUAUCUCCUGCUUACCACAACCCUAAGAGGUCAUUACAGAGUAUAAAAGAGCCCUUUCAGAGCCUAUUGAAUUUGCCUGAGCUCGCCCCGCUGGUUUGCAAUGUGUUGUGGGAAUGCAGAGCCAAACAACCAGCCAAAGAAACUAGCUGGGGCUGCUCCCCGAUCCUCAGAGGAGAGUCCUGCUCACAAUUGGAAUAUGCUGUCAUCCUCUACUGCACACCUUAUCUGCAGAUUCUUUUUCUUUUGUGGAAUCAGAACAAUUAAUACAGUUCCCUUUGCUGAGUUCCUUGCCCGGAAGGUAGAGUUUGUAAUCUCAUCACAGGUCUGUAAGAUGAAAACCAGCUCUCCUGGUUCAGCAGGUAAAAUCAAUGCUUCAAAUAAAAAGCCUUGAGUCUCAAUUAUUGAAUGCAAUGGUCCAAACAAACUCUGGUUGUCCAGGAAAAAAUAUCGGCAAGAAUCCCUUUGUUUCUAAUUAAGCCUAUCUCCAGAUCCCCUGCCUUACUCAUCCCACUUGGAUGAGUGUUUAAGUCAUGAAUCAGCAGGCAGGGUCUGGUUACUUUGCUUUGAUUGAAAUACUCCAUGGCAUUGUGUUCCCAGAAGCAGAGCUAAGACUUGUGACUGAUGGCCACCGGGGCAGACACCUACAAGUCAGCAGAUCACAUAGUUUAGCUGUUAGUAAAUGCAGAGCUUAAUCAUCUUUAAACACCUCACAUAUUAUGUUGUAUGUAUCCUUCUUCAACCUCAUUUCUGCCCCUUCCCAAUUAGUGCCAGCUGAAUUAAUGAGGUGCUCCUCUAGUACAUAAGCUCUCCCAGAGAAUGAGAAAGUACAGGGAGAAAUAUUUCCAUGCCUCUAACCAGGGUACAAGCAUUUUCUCUCUUACAGUGCUGCUUUCUAUCCAGCUGAUAAAAGGACUUCUAUUAUAACUCAGCCUUCUAUGGGCAUGUGAAAUUUUAUUAGCUCUUCCUUUGUCAGUAAAGUGGAAUAUAGGUGUGCUAGCACAUAUAACAGGCACAUCCUCAGGAAGAACAUAAUUAACAAUUCAGAUUUUUAUUUUCUGAUUAUCUGUAGAUUUAUUGCUCACAUUUUAGGGAGACACUGGAUAGCAGUCUGAUUUAAAACUGUUCUGUCCUUGUAUGGGACUUUAUAUUAUUUCCAAUCUUUCCUUUGGCCCAGGGCAUGGAGAUUAGAUUUGGUUUCAUGAACUACUGCUUCUUAUCCCUUCCUGCCUAAAAUCAGAAUGCUCAUAAGGCAGCAGAAAGAGACCUGGUAAUAUAUACCAAUAGAUCGGACUGCAGAUCUUGGGAUGAUGUGACCUUGUCCUCACCUUUGCUUUUGCACACACUACCAUGAUGAUUAGGCCCAGGAAAAUUGCUAAUCUUCUGGAAAUGGCCUCUGCUGUUUCCUAUCACCCAAAUAAUUGUGUUCUGAACACAAGUACAUUUCAGGAAAAACACAUGGGGAAUUUUUCUCUGGAUUUCAGUGAGCAUCACAUCCAGAUCUCUUUUAAAAUUCCUUUUGGAUCUAGUUGUUUUGAAUAUUUCAUGACUGUAUAUAUUUAAUUAAUUUACACUGUCUUUCUGGCGUCGUUCUUAAUGCGUUCAUGAUAUUAUUUUCUGUUAGACAACUCCUGGAUGGUGAUGUCAGUGGCCCACACAAGGCAUGUUGGGAGACCCUGGUAAACUUAGCUAAUAAUGAAAGCUAGUGUUUUCUGAGCCCCUCCCCUGUGGGACACGGAAUCGAGUCCUUAGUUAUGCUACUUCUGGUCCUUAUCACAGCCAAGUCAGGUGUGUGUGAUCAUCCACAGUUUGUUGAGGGAGAAACUGUGACUCACACUGUCCAAGUUGCCUUAGAAAAGAAUAUAUUGCAUCACUGGCAGAGCUAGGAUUUCAAUCUAAACCCACCUUGCGUUUUUCACCUAUAGUUUCUGAAUCUCUGGGCCUCGUUCUUUCCUAUCUUUACAAAUGGGAAAAUAAUACCUGUCCCUUUUAUUUUCCUGGGACAACACAGAAAGCGAUUGAAACAAUACUCAAGAAAAUGCAUUGUGAGCUCUCUAGAGCUACAAAUAUGAGAGGUAUUACUAUAAUGGAGGCAGACGAAAUACACAGAAUCUCCAGACAGUAGAAUCUGUAAUCUUUAUGGCAGACCAAAGUAGGAAGACUAACAAGAUACACUGGCAACUAAAUCAUAUGUUCUUCCAUAUACAGUCCUGCCUAUAUCCUGGCUUGAAAUUUAACAUUUUUCUUGGGACUAAAAUUUUUGUAAUUUACUUUGCAAAUUGUAAUGAUGAUCUUCUGACUGGUUCUAGCGCUCCCAUCCCACAUAUAUAAACAAAAGUCUUCUAAUAAUAAAAAGGUUCAAAAGGACCAAUUUAUCCUUGAAAUUUUUCCAGUAAAAAGUAAAAGAUUUGGGAAGUAUUAUGCAGAUCAGGCAUUGAGGCUUUAAGCCUCCAUAUUGCAUUAAAAUAUUAAGUCGUGAGCAGCACAUGAUUUUUGGACUAUUACCAUUCAGAAGAGCACUGGUACUGCCCCUCUCCCCUCCUCUUUCUCCAUUGGAAUCCAUAAAACAUGAGUAGGCCACAUAAGGCCCUGGCUAACUGUAUCACUUCUCUAAUCACAUUUCUUCUUAACACAUUCAUCGGGAUACUGAGCAGAACUGUAGGUAUUUCUUUGACCUUUGAUUUGCACAUUAAACUUUCCAGCUUUUGAAUUUUUGAAAUAAAUGGUAAUGCUUGGGGAAGGACUAACUGGGGAGAGAAUGAGCAUGGCUUCAGGCAGGCCUGCCUUGUGGGGUUCCUGUAUGUUUGCUGCUGCCUAUAGCCCCUUAAAUUUAAAAUCAGUGACAACAAACACUAUUGAAGAGAACCUAGUACAAGCCUGGGCUACGACUUUCUUAGUCUAAGAAAAGCUUAUUGCUUGGGUGAGACUAAGAUUCAACACUGGAACCACUUGCUUGCCAUUCCAGUCCUGCUGCACUACAGCUGGUGCAGACUGCAGUGGUGUAUCCACUAGUGUCGCGGUGUAUGGCUUAGCAAGGAAAAACCCAGUGUGGCAAAUGAGCAAAAUAUACAGUGAAAGGGGAGGAGCAAUUCUACUGGAGAAGAAAUUUCAGAAUACUAAUAUUGAAAAAUAUCAUACCAACACAUUUGAAAAUUAAAAUGAAGUGAAUAAUUUUUGAAAAGAAAUUAAUUACUAAGUCAAAUAAAAUAAAACCUAAGUAGACCUAUUAAUAUUAAUGUUUAUGUAGAAGGUUAUCUCCAGCAUUUGUAUGGACUUUGCUCAAAACUUAUAAAGUGUGGUCCCUGUGUCCCAAGGAGCUAAGAUUCUGAGAGACAGGAUGGAUAUAUAAAAACUGGGAUAAAAUCUAGGCAUCAAUAAUAAUUCUAGCAGUAAUGAUCACUAUGAUCAUAAUAGAUACCAAUCAUUGAUCACUACUGAUUUGGGCAUUUAAUAUACAUUAUCUCACUUCCUUUAUUACUUACACUGAGCCCAUGAAAUACAUAGCAUCAUCCCUACUUUAUAGUUGGGGAACAUCUAUAAAGAUGCUUUUUAGAUGCUGAGAGAAGGUUAGGGAUUUGCCAAGGGUCAUCUUGCUAACCAUUGGUAGACCUGGGUCUAUGUUUGACUACACUGGGGGUUUGGGUAUAUGAUCUGAUUUAGGGCCAAUGCGCUCUUCAAGAUUAGGAAGGCAGAGCAGAAAACAGUAAAUAUAAGCUUUUAUUUGGGGUGACUGAAAGAAAAAACAUUUGAUGAGUUUCUGUGACUGAGAAAUUUUUCUAUUAUUUUCAGUGAAGGUUGUUAUGUGCUAUUGCUGUUACAUCUGGAAUGUAAUUUCAUUUAAAAGUGAUUACCAUAACCAUUUGCAGAGGGCACUGAGGAAGAUUAUGCCCCUUCUGGUAUGUAAUUUUUAUAGAUUUUAUUGCUUUUGUCCUGCAUGUUUUUUUACCUGGCUCUUCAAAUACCUCUUUAUUUGGAUUAGAAAUUCUUAAAGGUUUGAGAUAGAACCUUGUCCAUUUUUGCUGCAUGGUAGUUAACUGAUUCAUUGUUAAUGUGUUCAGAAAUAGAAGGCCCAUCAACUGUCCAUCACUGCUUCCCAGGUGCCUGCCAUCCAGUAUGGCACAUAGUUGGGGAGGAGAAAUAUGAUUGACCCCCUGAAAUGCUUGCCGUGGUGCUGAGCUGAAUAAGUCCAGUUGACAUGUCUUCUCAUGCUUGAAAAAGACAAGAGAAACCUGAUUUUUCCCCAAGAGGGAGGUCCAUCUGUCUUUGUUCCCAUCACCUACUUUGGUUUCUCCAAAUAUGGAGCCAUCUAGAGAGAGCCAAAACAAACUCCAGCAUUGUCAUGGAGGGACUUGGGGAAUUGGCUGUGAGCAAUCCAAACAGGAAAUGAGGUUCAACGUUGCCUGUAGCAUGAAAACAAAAGAAAGUGAAUAGCAAGUUGUUUUCAGCAUGUUCAACUUUCCUUUAUGGUUUUGCACCCCACUAGAUUGCAAAGUCCUUAAACGUAGGGGAUUGUGCAACAAAUGCGAUACCUUGAUACCUUGCCUUAAAGAAUAAAACAUUCGUUCAAAUGAAAUGGGACUAUUCACCAAUAUUUGCUGAGCACUCCUUUGGGGCUGAACUGUUCUCUGCCAUGGUCUCUGCUGUCAUGGAUAUCACUGCCUAGUAAGGAGCCAAUCGGCUAAUGUGUACAGGAAUUGUUUGCAACUAUUGAACAACAAAUUUUAGAUGAAAGGAAGAUUUGAACAAAAGAUUUAUAAACCAAAGAUGGCGGAGGAAGUUUGGGCAGAUAGGUCAAAUGAGGACUUCAAACUGACAAACCUCUUGUGCUCCGGAAUGAAAAUCUACCAUGUUGAAUUUUCUGCCUUCUUCCCCACCUCCUGUCUUCAUUUUGCCCUCAGGGCUCUCCAGGGCCUAAUGGAUUGUUAAACAUUUUGAUUUCUUUGGGGAAAAAAAAUGUUAGCAUCUUUAAAUGUCUUUUUUUUUAAUUCAAAGAGAAUGACAAAUUUAUACAUGAGACUGUGCAAGCAUAAAAAUGGGAUCCAGAAGCAAAAUAGGAGGAAGGGAAGGAAGGUAGAAGAAACAGUGAGAAGUCAUCUGUUCAGAGAAAGGGACAUUUCCUUUAAAACAAAACUAGAUGGAGGUGAUACGUGUGAAAGGCCAUGUUUUGGUGGUCCUAACGUAACUACUAGGUAGAGUAAAUGUACUUUUUCAUUCCAUAAGGUCCUCUGCCUCCUGAGAUCUUCCUCCUCCCUUUCCAGAUGUACACACACACCUCACCCCAAUCCAGGCCGCAUGAAGACCCUUAAUAAGUCUAAGUACUACAAAGAUGGCUAUAUGUCAUAGAAUUAAAAAUAAUAAUCGAUGGUAGUUUAUAAAAUAUAAUUUUCUAAAAUUCUCUGAAAUGUAAAUAUUAGCCAAUAUCAAAAUACCUUUCCAGCCUUCAUUAACUUUUCCUGUUUCUGAGACUCUUGCUUUUCUGGUGCCCUAAGCCUGUGUUUGGCUUCCUGGCUGAGAAUCACUGCUCUAGUGGACUGUCUUCUGUUUUCUUCACCCACUUCCCUACUUCCCUUGCAAGGUCAUGCAUGCAAACCACCUCCCUCCAUUUAUUUACCAAGGGGUUCAUCUGUUCUCUAGUCCACGGUUUAUUUUCUCCUCAUGUUUUAAGCAAACUGAAGAUAUGUUGGCCAACUUUGACUCCCUGAAAGAUCAGAAUACAGAGCAGCUUUAAUUCUCUUCUAUCAACUUUUCCUCCCUUCUCUCCUUCACUUCGGGUCAGAUCUGUAGGACAGACCAAUGGCUUUUCAACAUCUUCCAGCUCCUCACUUCCUUUCACAUAAAUGUUUCUCCAUACAAAAUCCUCACCCACUUAAUUCUGUCUUGUACUUCUCCAUACAGGUUUAGGGAAUAAACUCUCCAUAGUUCCUUGGGGCUUUCUUCUUAAGGGAAACUCAGAUAAAGGUUAGUGGGAUGAUGGACAGACUCCACACCUGCGGUUGAACUUGGGGCCACAGCUGAUACUCUCUCCCUUGUCCAUUGUCCACUCCAAAUUUCUCUCAUCCUGACCUGCUACCUCCGUGAGUCCUGGUGGUUUGUCUGGUGAUGUCAUCUAGACCUUUAUACCUGAGCUAUCUGAAAGCUUGAUAUCAGUAUCCUCUCUAGUCUAGGAACACAUAUCUGUUCUCAGUUAACAGGCAAUGACAGGAGGCGCCUCCAUAGGCCACAUGGGUUCUGCAUGUAUCCUCCCCACCUCCAUUGUGUGAAAGUAGCCCUCCUUCCUCCUGCUCAUCAGAGGUAGUUACCCCUGGGUAUGAUGGUCCCUCUUUUCACCAUCUGGUCCCUGGAAAACAAUAGCUGAAAGUGCCCCCUGGUGGCAGCCAAAACUCAAUAACACCUUUGUUGUGUCCCCUUUGCAGAGUGUGUCCCCCUGGGACCAGCAUCACCAAUACUGAAGAGCCCAGGGUAGUGGGAACAGGAAGCACAUUGGGGUAAUACAUGGGGACACUCCAGUUUUCAUCCCUAAGUUCUGGGACUCCGUGCAUCCUAUUGUAGAUAGUGCCAUACAAAGGCUCUGAUUUAGUAAGUGUGCUGCAUUAUGAAGGAUGCAUCCCAUUCUUUCAGAAUGUUUACUCCCCACUGGCAUUUCAGUUGCAGGGUUGUCUCACUGAGGGACAAGAAGCCUCAGGUAUCCAUCCUCCUCUACAUUCUAUCCCUUGUUGGCUAUAAAUGGCUCCUUUCAUCAAUGUUGUCUAUAGACAGAAAAAGUCUUAAAGCAGAAUGUCACUUGUCCUUGAAGUCUUGGGAGGAAGUGUCCACUGGAGCUGCAGUUGGCAUUUGGGGUAGACUAACAGGUAUUGCAUUAGUUUUAGCAUUGCUAUUUAGUUUCUUAAGAAUUUCUACAAACUUCCAAGCACUUACUUGUAAAUAAAAAGUGAAAAAUUCAUGAUGUGGCUUCAUAUUGCUUGCCUUGUGAAAACAUACUAUGUUUUUCAAUUGUUAUUUUCCUUGCAUUCAGCUUCCAAGUCAUUCCAAACAACAAACAACUCAUUUUCUCUUUCCCUCCCCACCACUUCUCUCUCUCAUUGGAGGUCUACAAUUGCAGCCCAUAGGAUUUCAGGAACUUCCCAUCUUUAUUAUCUUUUAUUGACAGAUGUAGCUAACCUAAAAUUUUAUAGCUUGUCCUUUGUCGCAUACAGUUUGCUUGCAGAGGGAAAGUAAUUUAAAAUUUAGAAUACAUGUGUGUGGCACAGAAUCUACUUUUGAAACAGGUCAGUACAAUGACUAUUAUGUUGGUUAAAAGAUCCUAUUAUCUGCCUUGCUCUGGAUAUCAAGCUAUGUCAUUCAAGGCAUAUCUGUGAUCAUAAGAAAAAGGAAAGAAAGCAAGUGAGUAGAAAAAUAUAUCCCUGGUGAUUUUAACAUCAGAUUAUGAACAUUUCUUCUUCAAUGCAUUCAGUGAUUCCUUGGGAUUUCCCCACACGAGGGCAAGGAUUUGGAUGUCCAGUGAUGCUUGGUGACAUAUCAAGCAUAGUUGCCAGGGCUCAUGAUUUGGAAGGAAGGGAUCUAUGUACUGUUCUGCAAAGCUGCCCAACUGUCCUCUUUGCCUAACCCUGACUGACCUGAGCCAGGAGGUUGAAGGAAGCACAUAUCCCUUAUAAGUCAGAUGUCUCAUUGGCUUGGUUUCUAUCCCAAAGCAGAAAGGGUUCAUUUAAAUGGUGUGGAUUUUCUUCUCUUACACGUCUACCUGUAUCGUCUGCGAUUUUAGAUUUUAGAAUUGCUAGACAACAGGCUUUGAAGACCGAGGUUUCAAUUUUGCCUCAUUAAAGAAGCCCAGGGACAAUUUACCAGAUGAAAGCAAUGAAAACGAAGGCACUUUCAGUGCUCAGGCUUAAAGGCACUAGGGUGUAUGAGUCCUAGUUCUGUUUCCAGGAGGGUUUCUUUUUAGGUAAAUUGUAAAACACAAAACAAAACAAAACAAAACAAAAAACCCAAGGGGGAGUGGUGCUCUUUCUUUACUUGGUUUCUAAAAAUUUGAUCCACUUUUAUUUAGAUUAAAAAUUAUUUCUUAAGCUUUUUUUCCCUGCCUUAGUUAGCAAGUACAGCUAUAUGAGCUCAGCCUCUGGAUUUCCCAAUGACAUAAUGCCGCAGUCUGGCUGGGCACAAUCAGGAGCCACUUGUCAAAAGAAAGAACCACACACGCCAAACAAAACAGCCUCUCAGGAAAAACCCUCAGAGCCCCAACUGCCACCACCGGCUUUCCACAAGCCUCUCUCUCCAACCCAAGCCUCUCUCCACCUCCCACAAUCCUCCUGCUCUUGAGGCUGAUUGGCUAGGUCACGUGGGCAGAGCCAAAAAAGUCCCCCAAUGAGCAGCUCCGUGGUCUGAAAGGGCAGGGAAACAGCCCAAUGAGCAUCACCGCAGAGGAGCCAAUCAGCUAGAUGUUGCUGGGGCCGCUGUGAGCCAAUCAUCAGCCGGAAGCUGGAAGUUUGCUGGCAGCUGGAAGUUUGCUGGGGCCCCUUCGGCUGUGGCUCUCAACAACGUAAGAGUGGCCAUGUAGAAUGAUAAAUGAAAUUACUGAAGACUCACUGCAUUUGCCUUUUAAAAUCUGUUCUGCUACUUUUCUCUAAGCUGUAUGCAGUAUAUUGAUAAUAAUAAUGGAUUGCAUUUAUAUUGUUUACUAAGAGACAGAUAGAUAGAUACUCUUUGACUUCUCACAAAAAAUCUAUGUAUGCAGCUUUUUUGGAAAAUAAUUUUGCAGUCCCUUCAAAAGAUAAACAGUUACCCUAUAUCCCAGCAAUUCUGCUCCUAGGUAUAUACCAAAAUAUAUGUCCUCACAAAUCCUUGCACAGGACUAUCCAUAGCAGCAUUAUUCAAAAUGGCCACAAAGUAAAACAGCCCAUCACCUGAUGAAUGGAUAAGCAAAAUAUGGUAUAUCUAGGCAAUGGAAUAUUAUUUGGCAAUAAUCAGGAAUGAAGCACUAAUAUACUUGUUAUAAUAUGGAUGAACCUUGAAAACAUUAUGCUAAGUAAAAUAAACCAGUCACAAAAGGCCACAUAUCAUAUGAUUCCAUUUAUAUGAAAUGUUCAGAAAAGGCAAAUCCACAGAGAUAGAUUAGCAGGUGUCCUAAGGCUAAACAGGUAGAGAUGGGAAUGGGGGAGAGACUGCUAUGAACAUGCUAUUUGUUUUCGAGUGAUAAACAGGUUCAAAACUUGUCUGUGAUGAUGGUUACACAACUCUGUGAACAUAGUAAAGUCAUUGGCUAAAUAUACUUGUUUUCCCUUUGGUGCAGGGGACUGAACUCAACGCUUUUCACAUGCUGAGCAUACAUUCUUAAAUCGGUGCAUUGUAUGGUAUCUGAAUUAUACAUCAAUAAUAAAUCUAGAUAAAUGUCUCCCUCAAAAUUAAAAAGAAAAGAAAAGAAAAUAGUACUACUUUGUUCCAAAGUUCUCAGUGAAAAGGCUGAGGCAUGGAGUAGUUAAGUCAUUUGCCUGAGGUCAUAUGGCAAUUAGGUUGCAAAGCUGGGAGUUGGGGGAAGAACCUAGGUCAUCCAUUGCCAGAGCCUGUGCUCUUAACCACUGUACUGCCCUGCCCUUUCUCUUUUAGAAAACAUAAGACAAUGUCGCCUGUGAUGAUCAUUUAUAAUGUAAUCAAAGCACAAAUCAUCCAUGUGUCAGAUUAGUAAAGUCAGAACUGAAAUGCCCAAGAAGUGCCAGUUUGCAGAUCAAUUCUAGUUCACUGGUGGGGACUUCCUGGAGGGCAGGUGGAGAAGGGCUUCUGGAUGUAGCAAGAAACCAUGUGUGGCCCACUCUUGCCAGCACCCCCAUCCAUACCUACCUUGCACUCAAGGGUUCUGUGCUCCUAGACUCUAGGACUUCUACCUGUUAGGGGGACCUGUGUCUACCCGAAUAGGUAGUUAGCAUAGGUAAGAUAGGCAGCCCUUAAUGCUACUGGGAAUACCAGGAACUGAGUGAAAAACACCUUCAGUCUUGUGCCCUUGUGGAGGAGAACCUGAGGCAGGGUCUGUGGUUUUGUCAGAGGUGACAAAUGGGCUUCUUGAUAUGCCAUGGGUACCAGCUCCUUCCAUUCCUUAGUUCCUUGUCUUGCUUCUCAUUUCCCUACCUUGGUUUCCUGGUAGGACAAAUCUAUUUCUUAUACUCUAGUCUUUACCUCAGGAUCUGUUUCUGGGGGAAGCCACCCUAAGACAAAUAUCAUGCAUGAUGCUAUCUACCACGGCCUGAAAUAGGGAAGUGGCUAUUUGCUUCCCAGGUGUUUCACAGAUUAAGUGGGGAGAAUGUGACUUGGGUGCAUGACUAUGAAACAUUGUGUUGUUAUCUGUGAAAUUUGGUAUAAUGACUAUAUCACAGAUUGUCAGGGAGGCACCUGAUUCUCUUACACGUACUUGCCUUUCAACAUCAGAUUGUAUAUACAAGUAAAGUUGCUGAGAAAUUAGAUUGACUCAUUUCCUAAGGAUUAGCCUCUGGCAAAUCAUUCCCCCAUUUUCUCAAUGGUUCUGAAAAGACUAAGCCAAACCUGAGGACCUUUUUAACUGCCUCCAGGGACAAUUAUCCCCAUCACAAGAUAGUUACAAGAAAUGAGGAUGGAUUAAAUUGACAUGUGUGUCCCAAGUCAUUCUAACGUAAAAGUAGUCUUCAAAACUUGAAGGAUUUAGGUAGCAUAUUAUUGUCAGCAUGUUAAAUUCUCUUAAUUCAGUCCAGUGACAGGUAGGGAAUAAAAGAGAAAUGGUGUCAGAGGAUAAAGAGAGUUACAAAGAGAGAGAGAGAGAGAGAGAGAGAGAGAGAGAGAGAGACCUGUUACUUAGCCUCACCUAAGGCUUAGCUUGUCUAGCUAUAAAACAGAUAAUGAUGGGACUCCCAUGUUUGGGACAACAAAUAAAUCUUAAUUCAGUGCUAGACCCAUGAUGCUCCUCAAUUCAUGUGCUGGGGUUUAAAUGUGCCCCCUCAAAAAAAAAACUCAUGUGUUGGAAACUUAAUGUCCAAAUUCAUAUAUUAAUGGUAUUUAGUGGUGGGUCCUUGAGGAGGUAAUUAGAGCUAGAUGAAGUCAUGAGGCUAGGACUCUGGUGACAGCAUUAGUGAAAGGCUUCCUAAGAAGAGGAAGAGAGAUCCAAGCUGGCACGCUUGGUCCAUCUCACUGCAUGAUGCCCUCUACCAUUGUAUGAUGCAGAACGAAGACCUUUAAAAGAUGCCAAGCAGAUGCUGGCAUCAUGCUCUUAGAAUUUCCAGUCUUGAACCAUAAAACAAAUAAACUUCUAUUCUUUCUAAAUUACCCAGUCUCCGGAAUUUUGUUAUAGCAAAGGAGAAUGAACAAGACAGUGUGAGAGAUAUUGUUCAUUUGAUUGCUAUUUAGGCUAACCUACCUAAAUUGGCCUUAUAUCAUCCUCAAGAUUAUGCUGUAGUGUGCAUGAUUACGUCAGUUUAUUCACGUGGAUCGCGGUAGUCUUUUAAUUAUGCUAGGGUGCUAGAGCUCAACAGUUGGGAUUUGUUGUUCUGAAGUUCCAUUACUUGUAGCUGCAGGAUUUGCUCUGUAGUAAUCCAGUUGGGUUUUCUCCAAUGAAGGACUGUUGUUAAAGGCCUAUCAUUUUUUUUUUUUUUGAUUCUGCAAGACAUCUAUGGAAGAGGGAUACUUGGGGUUCUAUUUUAAAGAAACUUGAUAGUGUGACUCAUUCUCGAGAUACUGGAAAUCAGUUAAAUUUAGUUUUUACUGUGGAAUUUGAGUAGCCCUUGUGCCUAAAAUGGUUCCUUCAGGCAGAAUAAAGAGGUUCAUAUUUGUUCCACUGUUUCCUGGAACUCACUGGGUGCAAGUAGUGUUCUUGGAGAAAAUACCAUGAAAACACAAGGAAGCAGGCUGCAGUUCUUGAUGGUCUGUGAAGGCCAACAUGGCCACCUGCUUCCCCAGGCGGGGAGAGCAGAAGCCACGAGAUUGUGAAAAGAAGGCCUGUUGCGGGACCAUCUGUCAUUUGCCGACUCAACUGCCUCUCGAGUGCCUGGUAUUUGUAUCACGGAGCUGUGCUAUCUCUCACAAUAUUGCAAUUUAGGGGAACGUCUUGCAUGAAAAUUUUUUGGAUGGCUUUCAGUGGCUUCAUUUUUUUAUGACAUUUCUGCAAAUGUAUUCACUUUGUUAUGCUUUAAAAUUAUGCUAUAGUUUUUUUUCUCUCCACCCACAAUCUUUUUAUAAAAUAUAAAUAUUUGGAAAAUAAGAAAAAAUACAUAAUCCCACCAUCUAACAUAGCAUUUAUUUUUUCCAUGUUUACCAGAUAUAUUGCAAGAUAGUUUUAUAAAACUGUAAUCAUAAUUUAAACAUCCUUACUGUACCCUACUUUUCAUGGAACACUUUGUCUAAGAAUGUUUCAUACAAAUUUUUCAUGUUCCCAGACAUUGUCUAUUUCUGCCUCUUAUUAACAGCAUAAUAUUCCACAAUCAGGAUGUCACCACUAUAUUCUACACCAUUCCAACUUGAGCUGGACAUUUAAGUUGCAUUCAUAUUUCUUCUUAUUUUAACUAUUAUAGCAAUGGACAUUUUUUUCUAUGUAACUUUUUCCACCCUCUGAAGAGAUCUCUCUCUCAGUUAGAUUAUAAAAGCAGAAUGGAAGACCCUUUAGAAGAUACAUAAGGAGACAGAGAAGGUGCAUAAGGGAAGAAAACUGAGAACAAGUGAGGAAAGGGGUCCACAAGGGUAGAACCCCAGAAACUGAGUCACGAAUGUUUCAAGGAAGGAGUCGUCACCAUGCUGAAAGGAGUCGCCAAAUGCUGCUGAAAGAUGAAUGCAAUAGAAGCAGGGAAUUCGUCACUGGGAAUUCCAGCUUCUGUGGUAGGUACCAAGAUGAGCAACAGUGACCACAGAGGGCCACGAGGUACUCUCCUGGAGCUGAAUGGUAGGAGAAGCUUGAGCCUAUAAAUGUGCAAUCAAUGUUCAAUUAUGAUAGGAAACAACAGUUUUCAUGGAAAGGAGCAGAAUUCUAAGAAAACAUAUAAAAACAAGAAGAACAUGACCUAGAUUUGAAAUGCAGACAACAUGGUAAACAAAGGAGCCAGUAUAUGUGAUACAUUGGAGACCUAGAGCCCAAGCCAUGAGAGUAGAACUAUACUACACGAAACUGGAGAGGUCGCUGGCAGCCAGAUGCUUCAUGGCCUUGCCGACCAUGUUAAGGAAAGCAACCUUUACCCAGAGAGAAAGACUCCAUCAGGUGUGUAUUUUGUAGACAUUAAGAAGCUCACAACGGCCCAAGUAUAGAAGGUGAAUUGAAGGUGCGCUGGGAUACUGGUAUUUUAGUAGCAAUCCCAGAAUCCAGGUAUGAAGUUGGUGAUGACAGAAAUCUCCGUAAUGUUUUCCAGAACAUCUUCUCACAAAGAUGAAGUCAAAGUUGCUGCAGUCACUAGUCUUUUAACAAUACUAUAAUUAUCAUACAAUGGAUGUUGCUGGGAAGCUGUAAGAACUGUAUGGUGUGAUUGCUUCAUGGUGAAAGUAUCACAUAGGCUCAGAAUAUUCUUAGUGUCAUUUCAAACUCUUGAAGCAAUGGUGCAGCUCUUUCCAGCUGUCUGUAGCCUGCAGAUUUGAAGAUAGAUUGUUUUCUACUUUUUCGUUUCCCUUUAAUUUGCAGAAAUUUGGGGCCAGAAAUCCCAACUAAAAUUUCUCAAUCAAGAUUUGCACACCACAAGGAAAGAGCUGGAACAGUGAUGGGGCAUGUAGAGGAGGUGAUAAGGAGAUUGACAGAAUUGGUUGACAACCCUGACUUUGCAAAUUUUCUUAUCACAAUACUUCACUUGAUAUUCGGUAUGAGAAAAACCAGCUGGACUAUUAGUACUUGAGAUGGAAUAAUAGUCAGAACUCCAUCAAUUGCAAAUAACUCAAAUUGACUUAAACAAAAAUGAAAGUAAAUUUUGCUGUUAUAUAACAGAAAAGUCCACAAACAGGCAGAUUUUUACUGUCAGGCGAAUUCAGAAGCACAGAGAAGUUGAUCCAAACUCCGGGAUUCUCAUUUCUCCUCUUCACUGUGUUCUCAGGUGUUCUGGAGAUGUGUCCCUUAGAUGUGCCCCUUAGCAGCCCUAGCAGAAGUUCCUGAAGUUCCAGAGUGGCUCAUGUCCCCUAGCUGAGGCUGCAAACCCAUUUGUGGGCCCAUCACUGAGGGUACAGAGGAGCCAAGUUCUCUCUUGCUGGGACAAACACACAACAGCCAGAAGCAAUAUAAGCUCCUCUACAACUUCCACAGUGUACAGUUGUGUGUGCUUCCCAAGGCAGAAAGGAUGGGUUGAAGUCAGGCCAGCCAAAAAGAUGGAGGCCCACUGCAGAAAAUGAUGAAGAUCUACUUCAGCAAUUCCACAGCCUUAAGAUUCAUAGUCAGCAAGAAUGUGCCCCAAAACUUGUCUUUUGCUCCCCUUCAUCUCUUUUUUCUUUUAAAGAAACUCACUCAUUCAUUCCCUCAUUUAGUAAUCCUGUUAUACUUUAUUACUUCUUCAGAAAAUAGUGCAGAUAGUAUUGAAGUGCAGAUGCCACUUGUAAAUUGGUAUAAAUUUAAAAUAGGGCAAAUGAAGAAAAAAGAGAGUAUGUAAUGAUACCUGAAUGUCUUAGAUAGCCUACAAAUUUAGCUGGAGGCCCUCUCUUUGGAAGGCUAAGAGGUAAGAUUUGUCAGUUUCCCAGUUCACAGAGAUCACAAUUUUGAAAUGAUCCCCUGGCUCUAUACCACUCCUGGAAACUAGGCCAGCCAGUACUUUCUCUCAUGAGACAUAGUGACCAGCAUCCUCAAGAGCAAAAAGCAAAGACAACAGUGCCGUGUUUCAAAGGACUCCUUUGCAUAAUAACCGUUGGUGUGAUUAUGCUCAUUUCUAAGCAUAAUUCAGUCAAAGCAAUUCUGGAGGGACCAAUUUUUCAAAGAAUUAGAUUUUUGGGAAAAAAAAAUGAUUGUGCUAGAAUAAAGGAGAAUUUGACAAUGUUUCUUGAGAUGAUAAAGGCUGAGGUAACAGUAAUGGUCAUAGCAGUACUACUAGUAAUAGUAAUAGUAUAUUUACACUCACAUUGAUAACUCAGUAAGCAUUGUGCCAGGUGCUAAGUGCAUUUAUGUAUGGAUUAUCUCGCUGACUGCUCAGAAAAGUGCCAUAAAGCAAUCGUAUUAUUAUCAUUCCAAUGAGGUUUUACUUUAUGCAAAUUCAAAGUAGAAAGGUAUAAAGACUUACUCCAUGCAUAAAGUUUGAAAUAAUGUGCAUUUCAUUUUACAUGCACUCCUAUGGGAACAUGAGUCCUGAAUUAUGCAAAUUUUGAGUUGGAGAAACAUUCAGGAGCUCAUCCCUAGCAUAAAAUGCUCCACUCAGAUAUUCUCAUAUCACAGAUGUGGACACUGGUUUACUAAGGUUCAAGAACUGUCACAUUCAUGAGACUGAGCUGAGAUUUGAACGCAGCAUUCUAGAGCUGCCUUCUUCAAGGUCAAAGUGUACCUGGGGAGACCAGGGCAUAAAUCCCUUUUCAUAAGCCUAGAGCCUCCUCAUAUUUGCUGUACAAUGGUCGAUUUUUUUAAAAAACUGGACUAUAAAGCAAAUUGCAUUAAGAUACAUAGGCCUCUUUCUUAGAAACAUACAUUUCCCACAUGGUAACAAAUGGAAUAUGUAGGAACUACCCUAAUCUCAUAGAAACCGUGAUCCAAAAUUGUGCCCAAGAUGGCUUCUCAGAUUUACUUCUACAGAACAGAGGAGUCUCACCCACUAAAUCCACCUCAAGUCUCCAAACCUCACUGGAAUAUUGUUAAUUUAUUUUAGCUACUUCUUCAGAAAAAAAAAAAAGUUUCAAAAAGGAAGUUCCUUUCCUGGUCACGGCCUUGGCUGAGAUGGCAACUUUCUAUUGAGCACUAACAGAGAGCCUAGCAGAAGAUAGGAAAUGUCAGGUAAGAGGCGGGCCAUUUUAUGUGGUCUGAUGUUCUGAUUUGUUCCUUCUGCAUGCCUUUAUGACCGGCUCAGUCAUUCUGACCCAGUGAAGUUCUGCUGCUAAGACCAUUCUUGUUGGGGCAAGUUCACUGCUAUCCAGCAAGAGGGAAAAAAUUGAAGGUAAUGGAAGAGACGAGAAAUAAUGGUGCACUUGACGUUCUGGCUCUGGUCUGAUUUUCCUUGGUAAUUUAUUUGGCUGAGAAUUUUGUGGCUGAUCAGGAGUAAAAUUAUGUUCCAGCUUCUUCUUUCUCAUCCAUCUUCAGGAACAUCUGAAAGAAAGCCUUAGUCUCUGCUUUCAAGAAGUGAUUUUUGCCAUCCUGAUGUUUCACAUCCUUGGGAGGCAAUUACUUUAGGUGAAGUAAGACUGUUCAGAAUAGAAAAGGGUGGGGGAAUUGAUUAAUUGGUCCAGAAGUAUCUUUGUGGCCAAAUAAAUGUUAUAGUCAUUUAAAAGCAACAGUUUUGCACCUAUUUUCUGGUUCCUUUUGGUUCCUUGCCGAGGAAACUGCUUUAAUUAAUGACUGGUCUCCACUUUCCAAUUCUUUUCGUGUCUUUGGCAUACCCUACGCCCAACUGCUGAAUUUUAUGGUUCAAGAUGCAAAAGGGAAACAAGCUCACCCUUUAAAACCAGACUUUACCCAGAGUCACGGGUAUAUAGCAUUAUGAAUUUCUUCUUAUAAACACACGUCUGAGAAAGAAAUAAAAUGUAUACAAAGUGGAGGGGGGAAAAUAAAAUUAUCACUGUGUACUGAUGAUAAAAGUCUUAUAUAUGCAAAGACUUAAAGAUUCUGCCAAAAAUAACUAUGAGAAAUGAUACUCAAAUCCAUUCAAGUUGCAGGAUACAAAAUAAACAUACAAAAAUCAGUAGUACUUAAAAUACACCAGUCAUGAACUUAUUGAGAAAGAAAUUAUAAAAGCAAUCCAAUUCAUAACAGCUACAAGAAAAUAAAAUACCUAGAAAUAAAUUUGACCAAGAAAGUGAAAGACCUCUACAAUGGAAUUACAAAACCGUGAUGAAAACAACUUAAAAACCAUACCCAAAGAUGGAAAGACUUUCUAUGUUCAUGCAUUGGAAGAAAUACUAUUGUUAAAAUGUUCAUAGUCCCCAAAGUGAUGUACAGUUUCAAGGCAAUCCCCAUCAAAUACCAAUGACAUUCUUCACAGAACUAGAAAAGGUAAUCCUAUAAUUUAUGUGAAUUAAAAGACCCCAAGCAGCCAAAGCAAUCUUGAACAAACAGAACAAAGUUAGAGACAUCACAUUACCUAAUUUCAAGACAUGCUACAGAAAUGUAGCAGAUAAAAGUGCAUGGUACUGGCAUAAAAAAGACAUGUAGACUAAUAGAAUAAAACAGAAAUACCAGAAAUAAACCAAUGCAUUUACAACCAUCUGUAUCUUGUCAAAGGCACCAAAAACAUAAUUGGGAAAAACAAUAGCCUCUUUAAUGGAUGUGGCUAGGAAAACAGGAUAUCUAUAUGUAGAAGAUUGAAACUUGACCUCUGUGUCUCACCCUAUACAAAAAUCAACUCAAAAUGGAUCAAAGACCUAAAUAUAAGACUUGAAAACUAUGAAACUACAAAUGGAAAAUAUACAGAAAACACUUCAGAAUAUUAGUAUACACAAAGAUUUUUUUGGAUAAAAUCCUAAAAGAUAGGUAACAAAAGUAAAAAUAGACAAAGGUACAUUAAACUAAAAAACUUCUGCACAGUAAAGGAAACAAUCAACAGAGUGAAGAGAAUGGAAAUAAGAAAUUGCAAACUAUUCAUUUGACAAAGGAUUAAUAUCCAAAAUAACAAACUCAAAAAAUUCAAUAGUAACAGCAAGAUACCCCCAAAAUAACCCAAUUAAAAUGGGCAAAUGAUGUGAACAUACAUUUCUCAGAAGAAAUACAAAUGGCUAAAAAAUAUUUGAAAAAUGCUCAAUAUCAUUAGUCAUCAGGGAAAUGCAAAUCAAGCCACAAUGAGAUGCCAUCUCAUUCGGGUUAGAAUGGCUAUUAUUGAAAAGACAAUAACAAAUUCUGGGGAGGAUGUGGAGAAAAGGGAAUUGUUAUACACUGUUGGAAGAAAUGUAAAUUAAAAAGAGUCUUUAUAGUUGAGGUUUCUCUCAAAAUAGAUCUAACAUGUGAGCCUACUUCCUGGUAUAUCUCUAAAGAAAUGAAAUUAGCAUAACAUAGAGAUGUCUGAACUCUCGUAUUUAUUGUUGCACUAGUCACAAAAGCCAGAAUAUGGACUCAACACAGGUGCCUGUCAAGGGGUGAAUGGAUAAAGAACAUGUAGUACAUAUGCACAAUGGAAUAUUAUUCAGCCAUAACAAAGAAUGAAAUCCUGUCAUUUGUAGCAAAAAUGAUGACCUAGAGGAUAGUGCGUUAAAUGAAAUAAGUCAAUCACAGAAAGCCAAUUCCCCAUGUUCUCUCAUAAAUGGAAGUUGAAACAAGUUUAUGAGGAUAUAUAAUAGUAGUUGAGAGGUUGAGAAGGAUUGGGAGGAUGUAGAGGGAGAUUGGGUAACAUGUACCAAUACAUAGUUAGAUAGAAGGAGUAGGAAACAAUGUUUCACAGUGUCACAAUAACUUAUUAACAUGUUUUUUGAAGGACUAGAAGAAAGGAGCUUGAAGGCUCUAAACAUGAAGAAAUGAUAAGACGAAAAUGCUAAUUACCAUGAUUUGAUCAGUACAUGCUACACACGUAUUGAAAUAUUAUAUACCAUAAAUUGAAUGAUUGCAUGUUAAUCAAAAACAAAAUGAAAUCAAGUAUUGCAGGCUAAUGAUACGAAGAGCUAAAAAAUUCAUGUUCUCUGAUUAACAUCUAACAUUAUACAACUACUUUCACAGCCACCUGUAAAGUCUUGUCACUAUUGUCAUUGUCAUUUUAACACCUGCUGCAGAAUAGCAUCUUAAUAAAUGUCAGUUGUUGUUAUAACUACAUUUUAUUUAUCAGAUGUGAUUGGCUGAAGAUAUAGUAAAAAUUUCUCAAGUGAUCUUAGGUAAGAUCCACUCUCUUAAUGAUUAUAGAUAGAUAUAGAUAUAUAGAUACAUAUAGAUAUAGAUAUAGAUUUUUUUUUUGGUUAUCCAAUAAACCUCUCAUCUAUGGGAUUAGAAUUCCAGGAAUUGACGGCUUUCUUUUCAGUGCCCCCAAAGAGCAGGCAUAAAAAUGGAAAUCUGUUCUGCUACUUUGCCUGGAGCUGUAUUUGCUCUCUUGCUUCCUGGAAAUUCCUUGACCAAUUAAAGAACUUGGCAUUCAAUCAUGCAAGCAAGAGAACCCUGAGUUGUCAUUAUAUUCUUCUGGAAACCUCUUCUGAGCAUUCCACUCAACCCUUUUCAUGUUGCAGCAUCUUCUUUCCCCAUAGUGGCUCCCCUGGAGGAAGAAUGGUAAUUGAGAUUCUGUCUUCUAUUGGUCUUGUUUAAACUGGGAGAUAAAGGGGUGGAUGUGUGGCCCUAAAAUCCUUAGGGGUCUCCAAGAAACCAGAAUCCGAUGAUGAAUGUUGAUCAGCACAAUAAAUCAUUUAUAUUCACAUAGCUUGCCACAUUUGUGUCACUUUUGUGAAAUAUGUCUAACAAAGAAGUUUUAGAAUGGGAAAUCAAAGACUAGAAGAUAACAUUAGCUUCCAGUGGACCGCAUGACCCUGAAUGGACCUCUUCUUUCACAGAAACUCAAUUUUUGUAUCUCAGAAAUGGAGGUGGCAAUGGUAACUUCUGAUUCUGUCCUGGCUUGUGACCCUUGAAAUUCCAUAAAUGCUUUCAUCUCUUUAGAAACUUAUGAUUCUAGUCAUUGCUGUUUUUCUUGAUUCAAUGGUCUGUCCAUCAUGUUUUUUUGGAUGGGUUUUUCCAGUGCCUCCUGGUUGUCAAUAAAUGUGUGUUGAGUUGAACUGAACUGAAGCAAAAUUAUAUGACUCAUCAGGAUUCAACCUUUUCUGAUGCAUUGUCUUUGGUCUACUUCAAUCAUUUCUUGAAAGUCAUUUUAACCCAUGAGCAUUUCUUUCUCUUUCAGAGAUCCUUCCCCCCAUUAGGUGCUAGAAGAAAUGCUUUUGUGGUCUGAUGAAAGAUGAUGCUCACUUUGUCUUUGGGGGCUCCAUUUACUGGUGUUCUUAUUUCCUUUUCUUUUUUCUGCACUGUCUCUUAUUUUUUUCUUCCACAGACUAAGAUAAAGUAAUGGAAGUUUAUAUUUUCAUGCUAUCUAUUUUGUAGCGCUUGCCUUAAGCCAGCUCAAAGACACUUCAUGACAAUUCUUUUGGAAGUUCAGUUUUUAGCAUCAAGUGGACCUGGUGUGAAAUCCCAUCUCUGCCAUUUUUUUCCUUUGAAAUAUUGAGCAAGUGACUCAACCUCUCAGCAACUAAUAAUUCUUUCAUCAAAGAGCUGUUCUUAAAAGUAAAUAGUCACCAGACAUCAAAUCCACAGCAAUUGUUAAGUGGUCAACAAAUAGUAGUUUUUUCAGAAACUUUUCUUGGGGAAAAUUAAGGGCAUUUGAUUGAAUUGGUACUAUAGCUCUUGGGGGGUUAAUUAGGGCACAAAGAUUAAAUGAUUUUAUGUUUUAAGAUCCAAAUUUCUUCACUCAUUUAUUUCUAUUUUAGAGUGUCUUUCACUUUUAAAAGAAACACUCUUUGGAAAGUCCAUGUAUCAUUAGUGGUAAUUCUGAAAACUUCACAUUGGAGUUCCCUACACACAUGUUUAAAAUUUGAAUAGAAGGGGCUAUCAUCUGCAAUAAUGUGUUUAGAGAUUUGAUCAAAACCCCAAGUAUUUUGAAACCUAAUGCAACUCAUACCUAGAUUUGCUGAUUUAUUUUUAGCUCGAAAAAGUCCAGUUAUUUAAUCUCUUAAUCAAACUGCUUGAAGUUUCCAUUUCUAAAUAAAUGAAAUGAUAAUAAAUAAUGAGCCAAAAAAUAAAAUGUACCCAUUUAAGGGGAACAGUGGAAAUUUGAUGGAAAACAAACGUGAGUUGGAAUAAUAUGGAAAUAUCACUUGUCUCCUUUGAUUUUUCAGCUCCAAGUAAAUGAACCACUGAAGUAGGAGCCAAAAAACGUGCCCUUAGUCAAGUUCUUCAGCUUUGAGUUCUUCAUCC